rnacentral:lncRNA from 1 species
UUUUUUUUUUUUUUUUUUUUUGUGGACAUGACAAUAAUUCAGGUUAGACAUUCUUCAUUUGGUACUAGAAAAGAACUUUCAUCUAAGGAACCGAAAAGAAGUGCAGUGAACAGUGAAGAGAAAGCAAACCUGAUCUUCCUUCAGUAUGAUAUAUAUGGCAACCUCAAUGAUCCCUUUGCAACACAUGACCAAAGCAAGACUCACAGCAUCCCUUAAGGGCGUUUGAAAGUAGAGAGCUGAAAGUAGGACACCAGUGAACUUCCCCAAGUAGCCCAGAAUGAUGACUGCCGAGUAAAUGAGGGCUGAAUUAUUUGCUGCUAUUGAGAAGAAGUCCGUAUUCAAACCAGUAACUGCAAACUUCGCUGGAAGUAACAAGCCGGUGCAGAUUGUGUCAAUCUUCUGUACCAAAUAUGAUCCCACAGGUGGCCCGUCGGGUAUCGCCAUGCCGAAAAUAAAAGCCCCAAUCCCAGCAGGCACACCAAUCAGCUCCGUGAAAAAACCGCACAUCAGGGUUGUUAUCAUGAUACUUAAGAACUGGAUCUCUUUCAAUGGUUGCCCAUCCGGCAUAUGCCUAGCCACAUGUAACAUCCAUGGCCUAGCAAUAUAUCGAUAGAGCACAAAAAGACUCGUGGCCCAUGCAACAUAAUACAUUGCAUACCAUUGUUUGUGCCGUAUGAUCGAGCUCAUCACGGUAAGCAACGCAUACACAGUAUAGUUGCAGCAUUCGUUGACCGAACAUGCUAAGGUUGCAGUUCUUCCGACAUCUGAAUUGAGAAUGUUGAGGUCCGCAAGAAGGCUAGUAAUCACCGGGAAAGAAGACAGCGAAUUGAUGGUUACUAUUCGCAAGAUGGACUCUUGAAUUGAUCCAUCGAACUCCAUCAUAUGCGGAACGACAAAAGCCGCUAUUAUCCCUAAUGUGAAAGGCAAUACGAAACCUGUAAGCCCAAUUGCUACUGCAUCUCUUCCUGUCUUUUUCACCAUACUCGGAUCAACGCGUAUUCCUAGUAGAAACAAAUGAAAAAGUAGCGCAAAAUCUGCCAGAGUCUCAAGAGGUAAUCUACCACCCGGAGGAAAAAGCUGCUUUGAGAGGUUUGACCGUCCAAAAAAUGACUGCCCCAGUAUAAUUCCAGCCUGUUGGCAUUCAAUCAAACAAAAAAAAUAUAUACAUUAAAGCUUGGCACCUGAAUUUCAUUCAAAACAGUCAAAAUUCAUUGAAAAAAAAAGAGAGAGAGAUGCGAAUACUGAUCGAAAACAAAGAUUGAUCAGAACAAUACAAUUAAUCGGGUAAAUUGCCUCCUAUGUAUCUACGUAGGACCAUUCUAUGCAUGUCAAACUUUUUGUCCAAUGGUGAUAGUCAUUUAGGCCAACGCAGUAUGUUAGUAGUAAUCUUUAUCAGAGUUACCACAUGUUUGGUAAAUAAAAUGGGAUGGGCUGGUAGAUAUCAAGGUACAUUGAAAAAAAAAAAAAAAAAAACAGUGUGCUCAUAUUCCAUCACCUGUUUUGUAUCUGGGAACACCCAACAGCACCUAUACCGGGAUCAAUGCUCAGGAGUGUCUCCUAUUGGGGUGGCCAAAAAAUUUGUCAAGUGCUGACAAUGACAAUAUAUGAGACUCAACUCUUGGACCAACAAACGCAUGGUGGGCAAAGAAUUUCAUGUCAAGAAACAUUAAUUCUAAUUACGUGAAUCAAGCAAAAACACACAAUGUGCAUCUGCCAGAAAUGAACAGAGGCUUGAGCUUACAAUAAGUUGGGCACUGAGCAUACUUUGUUUAAAUGGUUCCAGGAGGAUGUAAACUGUUCUUGAAAGCAGGAAUGCAACAGAGAGUUGGGCUAAAAGGACCGGUAAGGUGAACGAAAAUGGAUUACCGCCAGACCACACAAGCCCCUUAGAAUUCAUCAUAUCUGUAAACUGGCAAACCAACAGUUCUUGACGAUAGCUUCCAGGGACCGAUCCUGAAACGGAGGACACUAUUCUUGGUGCCAUUUUAUUUUUUUUUUAACUAUGAAUCCAGUGAACAAUUCCUACACGAGAAUUCGAGGAAUUAAGAGGAUCAAAAUGAGAGAAAAAGAAAGAAAGAAAUUUGUUAAAGAGUGAGAGGAAGGUGAGCAAGAUGGAAAUGAAGGAAAUAUUGGAGGAGCGUAAGAACGGGGAAGUUUGUUAGUAAUCCCCAGUAGUAAGUCUCUUUUUAUAUCUUCUUCUUUUUUGUAUUAUCAAAUAAUUAUUUCAGAUGUAAAUUCACAAUAAUAUAGUAUUUUUUUUUUCAGUUGAAAACUUGCUUGGACUUCGAGACUAAUUCUUUCUGAAAAUUGUUUACUAUUGAACGUUAUAGUUUGACCACAAAUACCAGGAAUUAAGAUGAAAUAUUAAGCACAACUAUAAUAACAAAAACAACAAUAACAACAACUUAACAUGUUUAAUUAAAAUUUUAUGGGCAACAUAUAUUGCGUUAGCCAUGCAAAAUGGAUAAUUUUCCGAAAAGUGCUGCACCCCGCGAGUAUCUUCCUCCCUCUUGGCCUCUUUUUUCCAUCACUGUUCUGUUGGCUCAAGGCUAUUGUACAGCAGUACUAGUACCUCUCAGUAAUUUGUAGCACUCGACUCCAGCAUGGAAGAGCCUCCAUUCCGCAAGCUUUAAAAAGUUGAUUAAAAGAUUAAAAAAAAAAGUGAUUAAAAAGCGUGUUUGUGAUGACAGUAAAAUGGUAAUUUAAAUAAGCUUGAUAUCCAUAAAAUUUUCAUCCAAGUAGCCAUUCUUUUUACUAAGGUUGGGUUUUACAUUGCAGACCAAUUUCUUGGAAUAUUCAGAACAUAAUUGAUACGCAUAAAGUUGCUUUUUGGUCCAUUUUUGGACCUGUGAUACAAAAAGUUUUGCCUUUGUAAUAGACUAGUAGUAUUUCCUCAUUUCAGUUGUAGCCUUGUAGGUGAAAUAUGGGAUUCUUGCUGCUCCGGUGCCCCUUGCAUAUCCAUUUGCUUUCGCUUUUUAGCUGAAUUUACAGCAUCCCAGAUCAACUUGACGUUAGAAAGGCAAGAGGAGGAGGGUAAAAGGAAGUGAGGACCUUCCCUCUUUUUUGCUUUUCUACCAAAACUACUCUUUUUACAUCAGUUCAACAGUGCAUGUUCCUCUGGCAUGGCAGAAAGGCUUUUCUGGGAGGACAAAAACCCACGAGCCAAAGAUGAAAGAUUCGCAAUCUCUAAUGCUGCAUCGUCCUUGCUCUUGCAAAUGCGGUAGCAGAGGCAUGGCCUAUAACUUGAUUCUUCUUAAAUGUGUUGAUUCCUCAGGAUCCUUGAGACCCCAUAAUUUGGUCUGCUGUUGCACCACCAGCAGAGAAGCUUCACCCCUGAAAUCUGGGGCAGCAAGUAUUUCUCCUAUUGCCCCCAACUCUCCGCAUUGGUUCCAUUUUCUGAGUUCAGACAUGAUCGGUGAGUUCCCAUGGCGCCUUCCGACCAUAACCAGGUCAUAGGAACUACCCACCCUUCUGGUUAUAGACAGCACAUCCUCUCCACUUGUUGCCACAUACUCUUGGGACAAAAUUUGCCUCUUGAUCUGCAUUUUAAGCUUGAUGCCACCUAAAAUUUCAGCAUCAAGCAUCUUGCUCCUUUCGGUACCUCCUACUAUGCCUGUCGAAUUUGAGCCCCUAAAUCGUACUACAGUCAGCAUUACAUUGGACUUAUCCGCCAUUCGACAUGCAUAUGCCAGCGCCUCCCUAUCAUCUGCACCUCCCAAAAAGAGCACUGCCACAUGAAAUAAGGAGGGUUGUGUUGCUACAUAUCGAGAUUUCUUCUGGUUUCCGCGGUUGAUGAGUAUGCCAACAGAGCAAGGAGCUUUCUCCAGCACAUUCUUAUUCAGAUGCCUAUAUGCAUAAGAUGUUUCAACUCUUUGCCCAAGGAUCCACUGCUUAUGGAAUGGGAUAAUAAUGAGAAUGGUUCUCUUCUCCAAUGCAAGUAAGCAUACAUCAUCGUGCAUAGUUGCAUAAGGUGAGAUGGCUUUGUAGCAUUGCAUCAAUACAAGGCCCUGAUAUUGCUCUUCAAAUUUCUUAAAUGCAUUAAAGAUCCGUUCAGAUUGGGUGGGAUUUAAGGGCUUGUCACGUUCCCGAUGAGCAACAAGUACGGAGGAAGCGCGGCCCAUGAGUUUAUUCAGAUGGAGGACAACCAAGUUUAUAGGACUGUCUUUUGUGGGAUUUGAGACUUGAAGCAGACCAAGGAUUGCUGGAACAUUUUCUUGACUAUGCACGCAAGCAAGUAUGCGGAGUUCUUCAUCAUUUCUGCUAUGGAGUAAAGUUCUCCUCUUGUAAGCAACAUAUCUUUUUGAAGGGUCAUAGAGGACUUUCACAAGAGGCGCUAUUACCCCAGUUAUGCCCACCACAGAGAUGAUUGAAAUGGCAUAGCAUUCUCGAGUAAUAACCUGCAUUGAGAAGCUACACUUGUUAAGCUUAGUUUAUAGAUUAAAUUCCAAGUUUCUGUUUGCAACAAGAUAUGCCCAACUUUCUAAUGCUUCAUUGAGGGAAAAGGACAGGAAGUAAAGGAGACCUCCCAAUUGAUUAACAUAGUAGGUGCAAACUAAUAUAAUAUAGUGAGCUGGUUCAAGAACUGAAAGAAUAAACUUUUGUGGCUUACUGCAGAUAUGCGGAAAUCGUUUAAGAAGGCAAGUUCAACAAUGCCUUUGGAGUUCAUGAUGAGAGCAAAGGAAAGAGCAUCCCGGAAUGGCAUUCUGCAGAAUAGAAGGGGCAACAUAGUCCCCAUAAUCUUGCCAACGAAAGCGACAAAAACAAUCAACUGCAGUACACCUACAUCUUUCAACUUCUGAACACAGAAAAUGUCCAUAUGUAACCCACAAAUAGUGAAAAACAGAGGCAUGAGCAAUGCAGAAACAAAGCAAUCAAGUCUUUCCACUAAAGCAGCUCCUAAUGGUGGUCCAUCCGGUAUCACCAGGCCAAAAGCAAGAGAUGCAACAAGAGCAUUAAUACCAAUAACUUCUCCUGCGAAUCCACAGGCCAUCAGCACUACAAGGACCAUAAAAACAUAAAUCUCCUUAAUAGGUUUUCCUUCUGGGGUACGUCGAAUAGCCCAACUAGCUGCAGGACGAACUCCAAACACUAUAAAGAUAGAGAAAAAAAUGCUUGAUAGAAAUAACCCUAUAGUUACUCUCAGUGGUUUGGUAUUGUAUAUCUUUACAGCGAACUGUAUAGACAUGACGGACCAGAGGCAAACAUCACAGAUAAUUGAAGAAGAAGAAGCUAAUCUUCCAAUCUCUGAAUUAAGGAUGUUGAGCUCGUCAAGAAAGCAAGUAAUGACAGGAAAUGCUGUCAUUGAUUGCAUCACUACUAGAUGAGGAAGUGCCUUCGCUAUUCCAGUGUCCAAUGAUAAAAACUGAUCAAGAAGACAAGCAACUAAACUGGCCAGUCCAUAAGGUAUGAAGAAUCCCAGAAUUCCUACUGCUAUAGCUUUUUUACCCGAUCUUAGAACCAUGGUUGGAUCCACUUUCACUCCUAUUAGGAAAAUGAAGAGCAUUAGACCAAAAAUUGAUAAUGUAUCAAUAACCACUCUCCCUUUAGCUGGAAACACUCUCUCCAAGAAUGUAACAUUCUGCCCAAGAAUUGAAGGACCUAGUAUUACACCACCCUGGUCAAAAUAAGUAAUCCAACCACAGUAUAUCAGCUAUAUAUGUAUGAUUCAUGCUUAGUAUCAGAAAAACAUAUCUACUCUUUCUGUAGCAUAAAAAAUGGUGCCCUUGGUCUAAGGAACUUGAUUACUUAGUACAUAAAAUUCAACACUAAAACAUUUUAGUCCUGGGAAGUACUUUGAGAUGAUACCGUUUGAAUUUUUACCAAGAAGUACUGCAUAGAAAUUCGAAUACUAGAAAUGGUAAAAAUAAGCUCUUAAGAAACUGACUGUUUGACCAAAAGUGACAUAUCUUUUUUGACCAGGGGAAAAUACUAGUACCAUCUCAUAGCAUGAAAUUCGGCAGAAACAAAAGUGAAUGAAAAAUAAGCAACAAAGACAGAGAAGGGAUAGAACGAGGCUUACAAGAAUCUGAGAAACAAUAAAGGGUUGGCCAAAAGGCUUAAGAAGAAACUGAACAACACGGGUGAUGAUGGAAAUGAGGGAAAGCUGCAAUAGUAACAAGGGAAUUGAGUAGCUAAGAGGAUCACCACCCAGGAUUACACCCCUGGAAUUGAUCUGAUUCACAAAAUGGCAGAGGAAGGAUGUCUUGAAACCUCCAAAAUUGUCAUCAUCGAUUCCAGAACCACCACCAUUUGAGUCUGCAAUCAUAAUUAUUCUAAUGUUGCGAGUAUCUGGAAUAUUGUUGAAGCUCUAAUUUGCAGCAUCGAAAGGAGAAAAGAAAAGGGAUUGAAAAGUUAAAUCUGGGUAAAAAGAUACGUCAUUUUUUUCCUGUCCCCGAGCCAGCUAGAGCGAGAACUUGGGAGAUCAGAGAUGGAUGGACGAGCACUAGAAUUGGAAUUACAUGAACAUGUGAGGAGACAGAAGCUCAGGCAGCUCCUAGGCUAAAUAAAAUACUAGUGCUACUUACGUUUCAACUGUCACAAGGGCAAACUAUUUCACCUUUUGUCAUAAGUUAUUUGGAUGUCCCUCUUGAUUUUUUUUAAGAGGGUAAAAAAUUUCAGCGAUUAUUAAAUUAUUAUUUGUAUCGAUUUUUGAUUAUCAAAAAAAAUUUUGUCAUAAAUUAGUCACUAAAUUAAGUAAUAUCAUACCCAUAGCCAUUUCAUUGAUUAUUGCUCCUAAUCUAUUAAAUAAUCAAAAUCGCAUUUUAACAAAAAAAUAACCAUGGUAAACAAAUACACCCUUGUAUAUUGACACUUGCUCCAAUUAUUUUGUAGAUUUAAAGCAAUAAUUGACGAAAUGACCACAGUUGAGUUGAUUAAUUAGUUUAGUGGCUAAUUAAUUGACGAAAUAAUUUUUUGACCCUCAAACAAUUAUUUGAUGGUCAAAAGCUGAAACGGACAAUUAAAACUAUUGAGAUUUUUUGCCCUAAAUAUAUAUAUAUAUAUAUCAGCCCUUUCGAAUACAAACAACUACUUCUCUUAAUCAAAACAAUCUUUUUCCUAGAAAAGAUAAUUUGCUCAUAUUAUGUUGACAACGUCUAAUUACAAUGGCCAUUAUUUUCCCUAUUGUUAGGUGAAUAUAGCCAGACUCUCUUUCCCAAAAAAAAAAUUUAAUAACAACUCAUAGACCAUGCUGAGAUAUUUCUAUCACGAUGGAGAAACUAUGCACCGAUUAAUAUACUGUGAAAAUUUUCUACAAUUAUCUUUGCAAUUUGCACUUGUAAUUCCUUCCUUUGAUGUAAACGGGACUUCAAGCUAAUUUCUCGUCAGGAUUAGUAUCUGUAAGGUCAAAUGUAAACGAGACUUUAAUGCAGUAACAUCAGGGUAGAGAUCAAACGCCAGUUGUGAAACCUUCUCGUUUAACUUGAUUAGGCAAUAAUUUUCUUAUUUCCAUAGUUCCUUCUGAGUUUAGACUUGGGACACUUCUUUUUUUGUCUUACGGUGGUUGUUUAGAUUCCAAUACCGAAUGAAGUUCGCUUUGCAAUUUUCCCAUCACACGAGUAGAUGCUAGAGAGAAUCAUAGUUAUUAAAUUCGGAGUUUAAUGUGGAGAGGUGACCGAAUCAUUGAGUUGAACAAUUUAAUCGUAAAUUGCACAAUAGUUAUAAUUUUAUUUUAAAUUAUAAAAAUAAUAAAAUUUUUAAAUUAGCAAUUCAAUCGAUAUUUUCUUUUCGAUUCAUUGGUUGAAUCGUCUAUUUAACUAGUUUAAUUAGCAAUCCAGCUCGAUCCUAUGACCGGUUUGCCAGGUUGAUCGGUUUGACUAUCAGGCCGACCCGGGUUUUAUAAAAUGGUUAUAAACAUGUUUACUUGAACCGGCGGGCAAGUAUUUAAGAAGAGAGUAAAGUGAUUAGUCUUGCACGGCAACUUCACAGCAGAAAGUUCUCACCUAAACAAGAAACCCUUGUACCCAGGGGUAUAAGCUUCCCUUGCUGUUUCUACUUUUCCUUCAUCUCCAAAUGUGCCGUUAAACAACAAGAAAUAGAUCCUCUCUUGCCAGUUCAAGCGAUUGCAGAAAGGAAUAUGUUCAAAAGAUGCAAUCUGCAAUACCUAUGGAAAACUUGCUACUAGUUCAGUAUUUACAGCUCUUUAAAUUGAUCGUCACACUUUUACAGCAUAUCCACCAGGUCGAACUGAGCAGCAGCACGCUACCUACCUUGCUUUCCUAAUGUUUUCCUUAAAAUUUCAGCUUCAUUAACAAAGAACUCAUAAAAAGCUAUAAGAAAUUCCCAUUAAUAUCUAAAAGCUGCAAAAAGGACAAUACGGAAUGUCAAUGCACAAUAAUAAACGUUCAUGAUGGGUCAAUUGAAUUAUUAGCAUCUUGUUCUCCGUUGGAGAUACCUUGAUCAGGAUGCUGCACGCUGAAGAGCAUGUCCAGUCAUCGUUCUUUUAUAGAUAAGUCAAUCAGAUGUUGUGCUACCCAUCUAUUAAUGCCUCGGUAUUUCAUUGUUAGAAUCUAUAUACCUCAUCCACAGUUACACCAAGGUCGAGCUAAAAGGAAAAUAUUCUCAGCUCAAAACCAAGGUCCAAGUAGAAUGAACAAUAUUCUCUACUCAAAACUUUCAGCUGAAGAACAACUAGACGAGGAAACAAUUUGAGGGAAAGAAUCAUUCGAAAGAAUGGAUAUGAAUGUAAAAUAAAAGAAUUGAUAUCAAGGCUAUCUGGUUAGUGGACUAGCUGCAGAGAAACAAAAUUCUUCAGUAGCAAGGAUGUACAAACACGAGAACAUAUGAGGGGUGUAGCCAGCCGGAGGGGAGGGUGCGCCGCUGCCUGUCACCACCAUUGAUGCACCAGAACUCCACUCUUCCUCAGAGAAUAAAACAGGUCCAGGCAUUGAGAAUAUGUCUUCUGAUACUUAGAGCUCCUCACUCCAGGGCAACACCUCUGCCAUCUACUAUAAUGGCACUCAAGAAACAUCUCAUCAAUCAAACAAAUUGCUCCAGUCUCAAAUAACCUAGGGAUCAGAUGAAAUUCAGUUCCUUCUACAUCCAUUUUCACCACCACAUAGUCCCUCUCUGAUACUGUACUCUUCAACCAACCAGCAAAAUCAAACCCCUGAAUCUUAUCAGAAUCACCUAGAAAAUUACUUGAGGAUUGCACACCUUGAAUCCUCCCCAUCCCUCUUCCUCUCUCCACGUUCAUCUUACGUGGUUCCCGGUUUAUCUCAAAAAACAGGGUCUCAUUCCUCACCCAAGCUGCAUAAGGCAAAAGUUUCACCCCUUUUUUUGACCUGUACUCUUCAUGAAAAGCCCUAUCCGCCUCAAUGGCGUAGAUUUCAAACGUCUUAUUCUGCUUGGGAUACUGCUUCUUAAACCAACUGCCAAUGCUUGAACCAUAGUUCCUAGCUCCAACGUCUACAUACACAUGCCUAUUCUUGAAGCGAAUAUCGACUAGUGAGGACAGAUAUUUUGCAUUCUUCAUAUUCUUUUUCAAUGUUAGCCAAGGUUUCAACGGCUCUUCCACAAGCAAGGGCUCAGCAUUCGAGAUUAAUUGAUGUAUAUACCCUGGCACAUUGCACCUAUUUACAGAUGAUCCACGAAUGAAUUGUUCUUUCUUUCCAUUAACAACUACUCCAUCCUCUUUCCUUAAGACAACUUCACGAAUCCAAGGGGAAGAUGAAUCUACAGCGUUAAUUUCGCGUGAUCGAAUUAAUCUACAAGAAUUGAAUAAUUCAAGCAAGGAAUUGAGACUAUACUGAUCUUUUGACGAGGUGUGGACGACAAAGAAGCCCCCGGGUUUGAGCGUUCUUGAAACUUCAGAAGCAAAUUCGACGGGUUUAACAGUGCGGUCCAGGACGGAAUCGCCGGAAAACUCAAAAUCAAAGGUGUUAUCAGGGAACGGUUGACGAAAAGCUGGACCAUAACGAACCAACGGCGGAGAUGCUUUCUUUGAAAUUCCGACGGAGUUAAUGACUCCAAUAUCUUGCAAUGCGACAACGUCCUGACCUGUUAGGGUUUCGAUGCAGAGAGAUUUGGAGUCAGGGGAAAGGAAGCCUUCGGAUAUCAAAUCUUGAAAGACGGAGGAGUAAUAAUUGCGGAGACGGGUGGCGGACGCCGCAGAGGAAGGGGUCGUGUCCUUUGGGGUAUGAGGGAAGAAACAGAAGUCACCGGCGAAGUCGCAAGCUCUGCCUUUGACGGUGAUGAUGUAAGCGGAGCGCGCCAGGAGCACCAGAACGCCAAAGGAAAGCAGGCGUACCAGAAUAUUGCUCACGAGGUUUGGCUUCGUUGCUGUUGUUUCCAUGGAAGCCUUCAUGCAAUGCAAUUGAGUCGUAGCAAAGAAAUGUAGAAACAAAAAAAAAAAAAAAAGAAAAGAAAAGAUUAAAGAGGUUGUGAUGGCGCGCCAGAAAUGGGCGAAAUUUUGUAAAUUGGAACGGGCUUUGAUGGUAAAACGGGAAUGAAAUUUUUCAAAGGCGGUUAGGCCGGCCAUUCGUAGCCGUUAAGGUGUGGGGCCCCCUCAGCAAAUCCCUCCAUCUUGGGCUGAGCUGCUAUGGGCCGAAAACCCUCGAGACUUGCGAGUACAUUUGUGGGCUUCAGCCAGAAGAUGAAUGAAGAAACAGAUAUUCAAUUCAGCAAAGACGUUAUUAACAACUUUUGGAUCCUUUAUUUAAGUCUUAAAUCCUCUGCCUUUGAUGAUCAUUUUGGAAUGGGGGAAGAACAAACGGAUGGACGAUGGGGAUAACAACAAUCGAACCAGCAAUGUUGCUAUAAAACGAGGAACCAAAAUGCUAAAAUUGUAGAGUUAUUGUCCACUUGAUGAAUGCACUGCAAACAUAUGAUCACUACGUUUUAAUGAGGUUAUUUUAUUUCACUUCUCAAAAAGAAAAGACCUUAAAUAAAGAAAUACUUAACAAUGUGACAAUACAUGUAUACAAAGCCUUUACUAAGGAAUCAUACAGUUCUUUUUUCUUUCUUUUUUUUUUUGGGCAAAGCCCCAAAUUGGGGUAGGGAUGCCAUCCCCUAAUUUAUUUAUAUCGAAAAAAAAAAUACAGCGAAUUAGAGGGGGGCCAAACCUGACCUCUGUUGAAGUAAAAAAGAAAGACAAUUAUGGAUUAAACAUAUGAAAAAAAUAUAUAUAUAUGAUUAACAGAUCAAUCGAACGAAAUCAUCCACAUGAGGGUGCCCCACAUUUGUGGGAUUGUGAGCGAGCAUGGAAAUUUGGCCUUUUUUUGAGAGCUGCUUCCUCGUUUUCUUUGACAUCACUUGGGUAAAUUGCUCGUAAACUAGUUUCUGGUCGUGAUAUUUGUCUUUAUCACGUUGUGAAUCAUCCUUUCCCUCUUCAUUUUUGUUAUCAUUGCAUUUUGUACUUGAAUGAAUAAAAGGUUUUAGAUGAAUGAGAGGAAUCUUACCAUGUAAUUUCUCCCAUUGAAACUCUUCGAACACAUCUUUAAACUGUGGCACAUCUUCAAAUCGGGAAUUUUCCGUUUCUGUUCUUGUACUUGUACCCACAAGGGGUGUGUCUCCAACUAAUACCACAUUAUGUGGAUCAUGACUUUUGUCUACCUUCUCAAGUGCAUCGUUUCCCACUUUAGACGUAAUUUGCUUACGUUGCUGCGAAGAGUCGCUAGUAUUCAUCGCCUUCUCUUUCGAUGCAGCCUCUGUGAAUGUUCCAUUAGCUGGUGAAUGGCCAUUCUCAGACUCCGAAUCAGUGAAUUCUCCCUCAUCAAGUUGGUUCGUAGCUUGAGGUUUUACCGAACGCAUCUCUUCGAUUUCCCGAAACGCUUGAUCAGCCAACUUAUGAAUGAUUUCACCUGCGAUAGAAACAAUGGUCUCCUUUACUAACGCAGCGACAAACAACCCAGGCUGCUGGGGUUGGGGCGAGGGGGGCGCCGCUGGAGAGUAUCCACCAUCCAUCACCUGCUGCACCCCAGGCGAUGGGACAGUCCCUACCGAUGUAUGCUCAACCCGCAACUCGCCCUCUUCCUGCGCGCUUUCCAGAGCUUCCUCUAAGGCAUUGCCCCCAAGUUGCUGCACCUCCAGAGUCAGAGUAGGAACCCCAGGCCUCUCCGUGGGAGUCACAGCAUCUCCCAUCUCCUCACUGCCGUUUGUCUCCUCGAUAGCUAUUGUCGUACCCUCCUUGUUGCUCGUAGCAGUGGGUUUCAGCCCAUGAGUUCUGGCAACCUUCGCUGGUUUGAGUGCAGGGUUCUUCCUAAAGCAUUCCGCUUCCGCGUGGCCGGCGCGCUGGCAAAAGGAACAGAAUGCAGGCCAGCUCUUGUAGUCGACCUGCUGCCAGUGCCCAUAGGUGUCAUCUCCUAUCCAUAUACCCUUGACCGGUUCCAUCGCCAAAUCUACUUCAACCAAAACCCGAGCCACCGACGGCCGCUUGAAGGAGGAAGUCGCGAAAUCUGCUUGCAAGAGGCGAUCCAACAGCGACCCCAGUUUCAUCAGGUACUUCAUAUUGAAGAGUGGUAAGAGAAGGCCCAGGAAGCAGACCCAUACAGGUGCUAUAGAGGAGUCUUUGUUGGACUUGAAAUCUAGCGUCCAUUUAGAAACAGUCAUUGGAGCGUUGUGAAUGAACCAGGUCCGCCGUACAAAGAGCCGUGUGUAGUCCUCCUCUGUUGAAGGUUGAAUCAGCACGUGGUUCGUAUCCAAUAAUCCCACCGAGCACUCCCCCUUCAGACCAAGGGUCACAAAGAACUUCCUAAUCACCUCCAUGGAUGGGCGGCGGCUCCGCCAGCAACGACAGUUCGCUUCUGGACAGGAGCAGCGCCGGCUCGCCGCGAUAUGCACCCAACCCACCUAGGUCUGGGCUCGUCAACGCGCUGCAUGGAUUCCCUACCACUACGGCAAAGGAUUUUGCCGGCACGGUGCCCGUGCUAGCACCAAUGUUCGGCGGCCAAGCGGCCGCCAUGGCAGACUACCCUAGAAACCUUCGGAAGGUGUUCCUAUUAAUCCUCAAUAGAGAACCUUAUUUGCCCUUAGGAAUCAUACAGUUCGAAGUUCACAAACUUUUGAUUUUAUUAGAUUUUUUUCUAAAAGAAAAUUACAACAGAUUCUAUUAUUUGUUUAAAGCGAUAUGUUUAUCUCGCAAAUUUCAUAAAAUUGGGUUUAAGGACUUACUUGUAGACAAUGAAGUGCAUUCAACAACCACAAUCUGUUGUGGAUGAGAAAAGUUGCUUUUGCAUGAAUUCACAAUUUCGACGUUCCUUAGGCAAAAAAAUAAUAAUAAUAAAAAAUUGAUGAGCUGAAACAAAGUCAAAAGAUUCAGUCCUGUUACUAGAGCUGGCAAAAAAGUCCAAAACCCAAUAAUCUGCCCAUUAAUUUUAAAUGAUGGGUUGGGUCAAUUGGAUUAUGGGUUUUGUUAGGUUGGAUAAGAACAAUCCAAUUUAUUCCUUGGGCGGGUUGAAUUUUUUAUUUGAGUACCAAAUAUCCAACUUGUUUAAAAGUAAUUCAAAAUAAUAAAUAUAAAAUUCAAUACACAUAUGUCCAACUAUUUGCAUUUGGACAUGUAUUAAUAAUUCAUUCAUUAAUUUGUAUUCAAAAUUCUCAUAUAUAUUAAUCAAUUUUUUAUUUUUGUUUAAAAGAAAAAAGAAACUUGAAAUAAAAGCUCAUGCUUAUUUUACUUUUAUAACCGUAGUUAAACUUGCUCAACUUUUAUAAUAAUUUAUUAUGCCUUUUAAGAAUAUGUUGUUUUCCUCCCCCCCCUUUUUUUUAUUGUUCUCAAGUUGCUACUUGCUUUUAUUUGUUAAUAUUUCGUGUACGUAUAAUAUUGUACAAAUUUCUUUUUUAACCUUUUAGGAUUAUAUAAUUUCGGAUUCUUCAAAUUUACAAACAAAAGCUUAUUUUGUAUUAGCCUAAUUUUUCAAUAAUUCAAAAUAAUGCGAUCCCGAUGUGGUAAAAAUGUCAGGAUAGUUCAUGAAUUCUCCUCUCAUUUAUUUCUUAAAAAGUUUGGGAUUUUCCUUAACAAUUUAUUGGAGACCAAUACCAGUUUACAAUCAUAUAAAUAUUUUCUGUUUUAUAUCAGAGCUGUGGUAAUUCUAAAAGAUUAAUAUGACCAUAGCAUCAAGUAUGAUCCUAGAUGAUUCUAAUUAAUCAGGUGAUGAAUUAUCUAACUAUAUCAAAUCAAUAAAAAAAUACCUUCUAAUAUAUAUUAUAUGUAUAUAGAUCAUGAUAUUAACUUUGAAUCAAUAUAGUUGACUUGCGGAUUCUAUUUUGUUUUGAUUAAUUAUGGCAACUUGGGUAUGGCUAGUCAAACGAUUUCAUUUCAAGCAAAUACCUCCAAUCUUCAACUUUAUGAGAGGUUUGGAAUCGGCAAGACAAUUAUUCUUUCCUCUUAAUUACCGAGUCCAAAAACCAAAAUACAGUAAUGUCUUCAGUCAUUUAAUAAGUUUCAAUCAAUUAGUAGCAUUAAAAAGUACAAAGUAGACAAUUUUUUUAGCUAAUCUAUUUAAAUGUACAAUUUAUUAUCUAAAAUUCACAAUACAAAUAAUAUAAAAUAUUAUUCUAUUUAUGAUGUGUUUUCAAGGAACUUAAGAAGUGAGUGUGUGUGAAAAUACAUUUAUGUAUGUGAAAAUGUGUUUAUAUGUGUUAAAAAAUCAUUUUUGUAUGUUAAAAUGUAUGUUAAAAAGUUUAUGUAUUAAAAUAUAUUAAUUAAUAUUUUGGGUCAUGUGUUCGAGAGAAUCCAACAUGAUUUAACCCAAAAUUAACCCAAUCUAAAGUUGGACGGAUUGGAGAUAAUCCAUUUAAAUGAAAAUCCAAUAGUAACCCACUCAAAAUCCGCCCAACCCGCCCAAUUGCUAGGCAUACUCCAACCCCUCACUUAUCUUCUCCCGGCUGCUUUCGGACAAAACAAUCUUUAAACCCUAUAAAACCCCACUGCCGCCAGUUUGCCUAACCCCGCCUUCCAACACUCAGUUCCCUUUCUCUCUUCCAAACCCUCUGUAGACAAUGGAAUUUUAAUUAAAUUCUAAAAAUUACCAUUGGUCUAUAAAAUAUUUUUAUUCAAUCGGAUAUUGCCAUAUGGCAUGUACACUUGGAAAAAUUGGUUAUUAAAUGGCCAAUUAUAUUUUGCCACGUGUCAAGGCGAGGUGUUUCAGAUCAAUUCAAAUUGCAGGGAUAUCUCCACCGACCAAAUCAUAUCAUGUCACAUGUCUAUUGGAUAAAUAUCUAAAUAUUUAUUUCUUAUUAAAGGGAUAAUAUUUAGAGUUAUUUAAUCCAAGUAUAUUUCUUAUAUACUGCAAUAGCUUGGCCAGUCAAACGGCGCCACGUCACGUGUCCCCACGAGUUUGGCCAAUUGAGAAAUUACUUAUCUCUUUAUUAAUAAAUAUAAAAUGAAGGGAUAAUAUUUGACUAGCACAGUUCUAAUAUGACUGCAUGUCUUGCAAGACAAGUAUAGUGAUACACAUGUCUUCAAUCUCUACCUCUUGCUACAACUAUAAAUAGGGGUCUCUCAACCAAAUCAGGGACACACACAUACAGAGACACACGCCAGGAGGCAUCUCAUACACUCAAAGUGGUGACGUUCCAAGCUACAAAGGUUUGGGUCUUCAAGCUCUUCAAGUCUUCCAUAUAUCAAGACUUGAGCCUCCAAAUAUUUCCAAGUCCUUCAAAUCUUCCAUAUCAAGAUUUGAAUAAAUCGGUGGCGGAUCCAAGAACAAGCUGCGAAGCCCUUGGAUCGGUGUUCGAGGAGAAGAAUCGAGGGAAACUCUCCACAAGUUCGAGAAAAUCCCAGAGAUUGUAUUCACAUAUUUUUUUUAAAUUUAUAUAUUACAUAUUUGUCAUGUAUAUUUCUUGUUUUUGCAGACUUGAAAUUUUAUCGCGUACACCCUCCACCACCGAGAAAUAGAGGGAAAAGAGACAGAAAGAGGAUUUUUAUUUUAACAAAAAAAUGGACACAUCCAUUUUCCUCACAGUUAGCCCAUCCGUUGCCCAACCGAAAGUACUCUUCUCCCCGUUUCUUCCCCCAAACCCACUCCGCCUUUCCACCACACUAGCUUACCACCAGAGCCGUCGCCGCCGCCGCCGCCGUUACCGUAUAUCCACAAUCCGCUCCGCCAGCAUACCCACCUCACUGUCCGCGUCAUCAUCUUCAGACCAGCCCAUCAAGGCCAUUGAGCCGGAUGUAUUUGGGGGAAAGAAAGAGCUCACGGGCUUCCAAGCCCUGGUGGAUGCAAUGUCGCCGACCGUGAGAAUUGCAAGCUCAGCCCUUAUAUUUGCUGGUGCUAUUGCUGCUGGAUAUGGACUUGGGUCCAAGUUUGGUGGGUCCCGCAACGUGGCCAUGGGUGGGGCCGUGGCUCUUGGCACUGCUGGUGCUGGAGUGGCCUACGCAUUGAAUUCUUGCGUUCCUGAAGUUGCUGCUGUCAAUUUGCAUAAUUAUGUGGCUGAUUUUGAUGACCCUGCUGUCUUGAACAAGGAAGAUAUUGAAGCAAUAGCAAAUAGGUAAGUUGGGACGGUUCAAAAUUUUGUUUUGAAUGGUCUUGUUUGCUUGUUUCCUUGGUUUAGCUAUUUCUAUUUCAAAAAUUGUGUAUAAAGAAAUUCAAAGUAUCAGUCUGUGGAAGGGUCGCCUCAAGUUUUGAUAUUUCUUUUGUUCGUAUUGUGGAGUAAUACUUGUUUAUUUAGGUUCUACAUCAUGAUAAAUUCACAAUAUCUGGUGAUUGAACACUCGUACACUGGUAGAUAUUGUGAAUUGAAAUACUUCAGGGGUACCAAAAGCUGAUAAUGGGAACGGUGAAUUUGUUCUAAAAGUUUCUUACUUUUAGUUAGGAUUGAGUUGAACCAAGGAGGCUUUUCUGAAGAACACAAGUUUGUUUUGCAAUUGAGAAUGGUUUUUGAUUUCAUUUUGCUAAUCACCGUCAUUUUAGAUCAGAGAAUUCGCUGAGAUACAGCAAUUAGGUCAGCUUGAAAGUACUCAUCGCCUUGCUAUGCUUAGCCGUAUUCUAUCCCAUUGGUUUGGCACUUUGGCUGCCCUGCUAGAGUGUAUUAGCUUAGCUGCUUGUGCAUUUUAUAGGCCAGAUUAGGCUGCUUUGACUUUCUGUCUGGCAUCCACUUUCCUUGCCGGAAACGAACUGGUGUCAUGUUUGCUCAGGGAAUGCAGAAAGCAUGUGCUGAUGUGCUAUGUAUGAGCUGUGUUUUAUUUUCAUCUUGGUUUUUUAGUUAAUUUUAUCUUGUCUUGGUUGCAUAUUUUGCACUUUUUCAGUUUUUGACAUUGUGCUGUCACUAGUAUUAGUUAGUCACCCAAUAGUAUGUUCUUUGUUUUAUUUCUAAUUUCGCACAUCUUUUCAGAUAUGGUAUUAGCAAACAAAAUGAAGCCUUCAAUACAGAGCUUUGUGAUAUAUAUUGCAGGUGAGUAUAGAAAUUCAUUCUAUAAAAGUAGCUGUGAUAAUUAAUCUUUUCGAGUCAUUUCUCCUAAUGAUUAGUAUUCUUGCCUGUUGUCAGUUUGGAUUAAUUUCUGUUAGGAAAGAGAAAACUGUAUUACUACUAUUAGUGAUUGUAAUGGUCUGUAUGUUCUUCGGGUUCUCUUUGAUCUUAACCUGUCGCUUUGAUAUGAAAAUAAUGGAAGUAUAUAUUUGGAUUUGCAUUAUGCAAUUCAAACUUUUCAGAUAUGUAUCUUCCAUCCUUCCUCCGGGAAAUGAAGAUCUCAAAGGUGACGAAGUUGAAACAAUCAUCAAGUUUAAGAAUGCAUUGGGUAUCGAUGAUCCAGAUGCAGCAGCUAUGCACAUGCAGGUAAGUAUGUUUGUUCUUUUGAUUUUAUUAUGAAGGAUGUGAAUCUUUCCAUUGCUAAGUUUGAAUGGAGAGGUCAUAUUUCCUUUUGCUUGGAACUAAUUUAACUGUUAAUUUCUCAGAUUGGUAGGCGAAUUUUCAGACAAAGGCUUGAAGCUGCAGACCGUGAUGCUGAUCUGGAGCAGCGUCGGGUAUGUUGUUGCUUUGAUACAUCUACUAAGACAGUUAGUUAGCAGGUGGUCAGGUCUAUAAAACAAGGUUUGGAACUUGACCGUUCUCAGUGUUUCCAGUGCAGGAAUUUCAGAAGUUGAUAUAUGUUUCAACUCUUGUGUUUGGGGAGGCAUCUUCUUUCCUUUUACCUUGGAAACGAGUUUUCAAAGUCACUGAUGCACAGGUAUCUAGUUUGUUCAUGUUUUUCCGCGGAGUUCUAUUCCUGUUAACUUGCAAAGUUUUGAUCUUUGCUAUUUUUCUCAUGCAAUAUGCUUUACUAUUAAGCAUCAUUUGGUCUUCUGAAGGCACUGUGAACAGAGCUGGCAUGCCUAAGGUUGAAUUUAUUUGCCAUGUUUUAAUGUCUUUAAUGUUCUUGUUCAUUAGGUUGAACUUGCUGUUAGAGACAAUGCACAGCGGUUGUAUGGCUUCAAGGUUAAAUCAAUUGGUCAAGGUAACUGCUGAGUUUCUCCUGCUUGUUUGAUGUACCUUUACUUUUGUAAUAUUUGACAUAUAUUUGUGGCAGGGAAUGUCCCAAAUCGACAUGUUUUUCACUUUGUAUAACAAACAUUGCCCAAGCAGAAAUAUACAGUAAACUUCACUGGUGUAUUCCUUUCAUUUUCAUGUGUAUACAAACUGUAGUGAAUAAUCAGCUCAGAAAAGCAAAAUUUUAUGCUUUAGCAUAAUCUUCAAUGCAAUAUUUUGUGUUAAACUUUGAAUUUCUAAUAAUUGAAGCUGUUUCAACUUCAAAUGCAAGGUCUGGCUUUUGAUCCUUAUGAAAUCAAAGGCUGCCAUCUAAGCUUGGAAGGAUCAAAAGGUUAAUUUACUUUGUAUUUUCUUGUUUCAUUCUAAAAUGAUUGAUUUCCUUCCAUAUUCAUAUGGAAAUGGCUUGGAAAACAUGCAAAUGUUUUGAUCACGUCUUUUGUAUUUGUAAGUCCUUGGCUUUCAUGAUGGACUGGUCUUUUUUGAACUCUGAUCGGUUUGCUAGUAUCCAGACUUAUUUCAAGAUAUAUUCUCUAAUUUUACUUUCUUAAGAGUUUUGCUUAUCCGCUUUUGGGUCUGGUUAUUUCCAUUUUGCUGCUUGUUUUUAGAGUCAUUGGAUGAGCCGCUGGGUUUUUCAAGUUGUCUUGCCAUACUGUAAUUUAGACAAAUUGCACUUGCUGCUCUUCUGUAUUAACAAGAGUUGGAAUUUUUGUUAGAUAUUAAUGUUGACCAGCUGGUUGGCCUCCGAGAAGCACAGCUUGCAUAUCGCCUUUCAGAUGAGGUACUGCCAUCUGUAUAUUUGAUCUUAUCUGCAAUUGUCUGGCAUGUUACAAAAACAAGACAUGUAGUAUUUCACAUGAAUGUUGAUAUCUUUUUUUGGCUCAUCGCUUACCCUUCUUUUGCAGCUUGCUGAGAAUAUGUUUAAAGAGCUUACAAGGAAGCCUGUAGAUGAGAAUAUAUCAACUGCUCUUAACAUAUUAAAAUCCAGGACAAGAGCAUCGUAUGUAUUUUUUUUCCUUCUUGAUUCUUGGUAAUAGAAAGGAUGAGAAGCGCAUGGUCAGAACUAGAUAGUCUGUAGGAGGUAAACUUGCAUCUAUGCAGAAAGUUAGACUUGAUAGGCAUCCUUUUAACACACUUUUAAGAAUCCCUAGUUUUUAGUGAAGAUGAGUUUUCAAACUUUUAUGGAACAAGUCAGUAAGAAAAUGUGGGUUUGGCCAACUAUGGUUAUCAGUGGUGAUAUCUUUCACUGUUUUUCUUUUCCUUGUGUCAGCUUGUAGAAUCAUUUUCACGAAAACCUAUUUGGGUACCUGCAGGGAAGCAACUCGUAUUGUUGAAGAGCUGAAUAAGGUGCUGAAAUUUAAUAACUUGCUUAUUUCGCUGAAGAACCAUCCUGAAGCCAACCGUUUUGCUCGGGGAGUUGGGCCAGUUUCUUUGUUAGGUAACGAGGAUGCUAACUGCUUUCCACUUGUCUGCGCAAAUGAUAAUGUGGCUUUCUUCUUUUUCCUUGUUUUCGUUGUUAUUUUUGUUUUGUAAUCGAUUGCAAUUUUGGACCUUGGUUCUUUCAAUGUAUACUGUUUAAACUUUCAGCUGAAGUUAAUGUGACAUUAUUGCCUAGGUGGGGAGUAUGACUCUGACAGAAAAAUAGAUGACCUAAAGCUCCUAUACAGAGCCUAUGUCUGGGACUCAUUAUCAAGCGGUCGGAUGGAAGAAGAUAAGGUGCUUAAGUAACCUCAUUCCUUUGCAAACACAUGCAACCUGUAUAUAUGUGUGUGUGUGUGUGUAAGUACAGAGACAAAAUAUGCAGAUUAACCCAUAAAUUGUUAUACUCAAACUGCAAUGGUUCAUACCUGCAUUCUUUUGUUUGUAUAACUCCUGGUAGUGUUAAGAGUUCUGAGUUUUACGGAAUGAUGCUUUAUGCCCUGCCUCAUGGAGUGAGGACUAUCAUUAUCAUGCAUGCCCGGAACAGAUUUCUCACAUGUGGCCUCGCAUUGGCGCUAGUUUGUUUCAUGAACAAUUUUUGACUGCUAAUGAAACACGAGUUGCAUGCUUGUCUCCCACCUGACCCCUGCAAUCCUUGCCUCUUUCUUUUUGAUCUUCUUUCCUUUGCUUUGUAGCGCAAAUACUUUUCUGCUCAAGAUUCUUGAGUAUAAAAUGUAUGUUCGGGUAUGGGGACCUGUUAAAUUUACAACUGAGACAAUCCAGAAUUUCUUUCAUGACAUUUGGUAAUUGGCAAGCUUGUUGCUGACUAUCAGAGCUCAUGUAUGACAAAAUUGUGGAUUGCACAUUAAAGCUCAUAACUGUGUGUAAGAUGUUGCAAAAAUGCUGGCCAAAGCUAGAGCACAUUCAAUGAUAUUUUGUGUACAUAAAUAGUUUAAAGAUUGGGUGCAAAGGAAGGCUUUAUUUCUGGAGAUGUAAGACUGUUGGUGCUCAGGAAACAAGAUUUUAUUUAGUCAGUGGCCACAUCAAUUGUCAGAUGUAAAAUAUCAGUCAAAACGUACUUUAUUUGAGUGGUAUACUUCCAUUUGGAAGUCAAACCUUCACAGAAAUGACAAGAACCCUUGGGGUUGAAACAUCAAAUGGAGAGUAUUGAAAAAAAGAAAGGAAGAUAGAGUGAAAGAUAGCUUUUGCUGGACGUUGUUUGUCACUAUUACAUGUUAUUGUUUUUUAUUUUUUUUUGUGUCUAUUGACAUUGACUUUCUUUUCUACUGUAGCUCACUGCACUGAACCAGUUGAGGAAUAUUUUCGGUUUAGGUAUGCGAGAAGCAGAAUCCAUUAAACUGGAGGUUACCUCAAAAGUGUAUCGCAGGCAACUUGCUCAAGCUGUAUCUAGUGGUGACUUAGCUGCUGCUGAUAGUAAAGCAGCUUAUCUUCAGAACCUCUGUGAAGAGUUGCAGUUUGAUGCGGAGAAGGCUGUUGAGAUCCAUGAAGGUAAUAGUGGUUCAAAUAAGUGGCAGCUCUCCUGUCUUUGCAACUUGCACGGGCUGGUUAAAUAUAAAUAUUCUACUAUUUCCUUUAAAACUCUAUCAUGACAUGCUUUUACUUUAGUGACUGUAUGCUCUAUGGUAUAGGUCGCAAUUAACAAUUUGCAGAAAGUUCUCUUAAAUGUAUAUUUCCUAAUAUAAUAGUUGAGCAACUUGUCAAGAUCAUGUUUUUGAUUUACAGAAAUCUACCGGCAAAAGCUUCAGCAAGCUGUAGCUGAUGGAGCACUAAGUGACGAGGAUGUUAAAGUGUUGGAAAAGUUACAGAUUAUGUUCUGCAUUCCAAGGGAAACAGUUGAAGCAGCUCAUGCAGACAUCUGUGGUAGCUUAUUUGAGAAGGUAACCACUGUUUGAAUUCCAUUGGUGUCGUUCUCUGUGAUCAGAUUGGAAGUACGGAAAACAGAUGGAAGGCCAUUUCCAUCAGGGAUUAAACUACCUGAUCUUCCAUUAAUUGUACAUGGCUUGGCUGCUAAAUUGGUAGAAUAGAUAUAGUGUGCAUCUGGCAAGCGUUUAAAAUACAUAUUGAUGUUCAUAACUGGUAAAGUGUUUUUCAAUCUUUACAACCUUGAUUAGAGAUGAUAGUCACUGAGAUUUCUGAUGAAUGAUGGAGUCAUAAAGUACCAACAUGUUAUGACUAAGGUAGUGAUGCCCUUUGUGUGCUUAUUGGGAGAAACACUGCCAGCUUGUUUUCCAACAAAAUGCUUACUUGUGGCUUUCUCAAAAUGGUAUUAAAAUUUUCAGAAUGUGUAGCUUUAAGAACUUCUAGUGUAUUGUAUUCAUGUUCCAGAUAUAGGCCCUAUUGUCUUGAAUCGAAGAUUUUUUUCUAUAUAGUUGCAAUGUCUACAGUUAUACUGGCCUGAUUCUUUUUCCAGGUUGUUAAGGAAGCAAUUGCCGCUGGAGUCGAUGGAUAUGAUGCUGAAAUCAAGAAAGCUGUGAGAAAGGCUGCAUUUGGUUUAUGCUUACCUAGAGAGGUUGCUAUGAAUAUAGCUAGCAAGGCAGUAAGUAUCAGAUCCUGGCUACAUUUCACUUUACUUGUUGCUUCAGAACCUUUUGUUUUAUUGAACAAGCCCCGUGUUCUUCUGGUGUCAAUCACGGUAAUACCAGUAAUAAUUGCCCUCCCAUUUGCACUGCGUAUGUUCAGGUCCGUAAGAUCUUUAUUAGUUACAUCCAAAGAGCACGAGCAGCUGGUAGCCGCACGGAAUCUGCAAAAGAGCUCAAAAAGAUGAUAGCUUUCAACAGCUUGGUUGUGACAGAAUUAGUGGCAGAUAUUAAAGGCGAGUCAUCUGAUACUCCACCUGCAGAGCCCCCUGUGGAAAAGGGAGAAAAAGUGGUUGAUGAGGGCGAGGAUGAGGAAUGGGAGUCGUUGCAGUCACUUAGGAAAGUAAGACCUGGUAAAGAAAGUUUGGCAAAGAAAGGCCAGACUGAGAUAAACCUUAAAGAUGACCUACCAGAAAGGGACAGAACUGAUCUUUAUAAGACAUAUCUGCUUUAUUGUAUGACUGGAGUAGUGAAUAUCCCUCUGGGUACCCAAUUCACCACAAAGAAGGGUGAUUCUGAAUAUGCAUUGCUGAACCAACUGGGAGGCAUACUUGGCUUGACUUCUAAGGAGAUUGUUGAAGUACAUAGAAGCUUAGCGGAGCAGGCCUUUAGGCAAAAAGCAGAGGUGAUUUUAGCAGAUGGACAAUUGACAAAAGCCCGAAUUGAGCAGCUCAACGAGUUGCAGAAGGAUGUUGGCCUGCCGCCUCAGUAUGCACAAAAGAUUAUAAAGGGCAUUACAACAACCAAAAUGGCAGCAGCUCUCGAAACGGCUGUUGCACAGGGGAGGCUUAGCAUAAAGGAAAUUAGGGAACUGAGAGAGGCUGGUGUUUGAAUUGGAUACCAUGAUUUCCAAGAGCUUAAGAGAGAAUUGUAAACGCCAAAUUUUUGUCAAAUUUUAAUGUUUUCUUGAAUUUUUUUUAUUUAAUGAUUAUUUAUUGUCUUGUAUUUUAAUGUUUUCUUUUUCUCAUUUUUGCAGUUUUAUCUUAAGGAAAAAAAAAAGAAAAAAGUCAAAAUCAAAAGCAAAAAUAAAAAAUCAAACUAAAUUUACACAUUUUCAUCAUUUUUCCUGUCAAAAUAACUAUUAACCCAUUUUGCACUUAAUUGCUAUGCACCUUUCUUUUCAUUAAUUGAGAAAAUCAUCAUUUUGGCAAAACUAACACACAAACUCCAUUUUUUGGCUCCCAAUAUACAUCUCUCGGCCUUGCUCUUCUUUUUGCUUGGAAGUCAAGCCAUAACAAGGAAGACGAGAACCAACUUACUCCUCCCAGGUCACUCUCGACUCUCUGUUUUCUCUCAACUAGACAAAAACACACACAAAAGCUAUAAAAAUGGUCAGCCGAAUCAUCAAUAAAGCUGUACAAAAUGAUUAAAUUUGUCAGUAUUUAAUGAGGAUUUUCACUUUAAUUUCUACAUUCACUUGCAGGUUUGAAAUUAGGAUUUUACUCCGAAGGUAUUGCAUCAUGUUAGGUCGAUCCUGACAUAAAAAGUGCUUCCCCAUAAGACAUGCAUCCGAAUUGUUUAAAUAUCUACUAACUCAUUUUUUUUUCCUUUUUCUUGAAUAAAUUACAGCAAUUUGACACAAAAUCCAUUCCUAAAUCAGUUUCUUUUCUCCACUAUCAGGUAUUUUUCACAAUAGUUGCUCAAAGAAACCCCAUCAUCACCAGGUCCCGAAGUAGAGCCUUGAGUCAGCCUGUAACAUGAGUUCAGUGCCAGAAACUUUGGAAAGAUCUGCUAUAGUUACGUCACCGGAUUUCACAGCAUUGGGAGCUCAAUUAAGUGAAGUACUUGGUAAGUUCAAUGAGUUAAAGUGCUGAAAUAGCCGCACAAAGGCGUGUAAUUGAUCAGUUGGUUGCAAGCAAUAAUGGUGAUGGUGUCCCGAACGAUCAAGAACCUGUCGACAAUCACUCAUCUGCACAAGACCAUCAACUACCCCACACAUCUAAUACCCAAACAACUUUCAUUCCUCCUUUCGCUAAUCCUCUUGAAAAUAACUUUACCCUACUAAGUUCAGACCUUUUCUAUAUGCAUCCAAAUUAUACAUUGAUGAACCCAACUAAUAGUUAAAUCCUUCAAAUCCAUCCACAAACCAAUCUGAACAUUCCCCCCAACCCUCAGGGACUCCACCACCAUAUUACAGAGCCUUUUGCACGGGAUAUUGCAUCUCAAUGAAAGGCAACGAUAGAAGAACAACCCGCACCUAUUGACAAGGACCUGUUGAGAAGGUUGGAUCGAUUCAAUGAAUUUAUGAAAAAAAUCAAGGAUUGAGCAAGCAUGAUGGAUUGGACUACAAUGAAUUAUGUUUUUUUCCAAAUAUUCAACUACCGUUGGGAUUUAAAACCCCUAAAUUCAACAAGUAUGACGGAACUGAAAAUUCUAAGACGCAUCUCAAGAUGUUUGCCAACAAGUUAGGUAAGCCGGUGGAUGAUGAAAGUUUGCCUAUGUGUCUAUUUUCGAAAAGUUUAGAGGGAGAUGCUCUAGAUUGGUAUUCAAAUUUGAAGUCUGAGAAGAUCAAAACCGGGUUGGAUCUGUUAACAGCUUUUGUGAAGCAAUAUGAAUUUAACUGUAAGUUGGCACCAAUACGUACAACAUUGGAGAGCACGAAAAGAAAGCCGUCGGAAGAUCACAAGACCUACGCAAAGCGAUGGAGAAAGUUAGCUGCUAAGGUGGAGCCUCCUAUGACUGAGGAGAUUGUUCGUACUUUCAUCAAGACUUAUGAUCCAUCCUACUUUGAAGAGAUCUUUCGCAUGAUUGAAAGUUCGUUUGCUGCUAUUAUUAACAAGUUGGAGGAAUACGAUGAGUUUGUCAAAACAUGGAAGAUUGUUAAUGUAUCGGCAUUAAAGUUGCAAUUGGAUGCUCUACAGAAUCAAAGCAACAAUGGGAAAAAACCCCCAUUCAAGAAGAAAAAAGGAGAAACUGCUUUUAUAUAGGAUCAAGGCCUGUCUUUCAGAUCCAGAAUCUGAAACCAUCCCACCUAUUCUGUUCAUUACCCACAUUACCCUAACUCUCAACCAGUCUACCACACUACUAUCCAAUUUUAUCAUUCCCGACCAAGUCACUUGAAUACCUCACCGUUACCUCCAACCCCACAAUCUAUCAUUCAAAAUCACUCUCAUCCCGUUUACCAAUCCAGACCAACCUUGCAAAACAAUAACCCUUCUCAAAAUCUUUUUGAAACCAGCGGAAUUCAAACUCAGAAGCAAUUUCGAACCUUCACCAAUUUGGACCGACCUAUUGAUCAAUUGUAUGAGCAACUAAAGGCAGUUGGAAAAAUUGGCACCGUUUCUCCCAAACUCUAUUCCAGAAGUCCUCCUGCCGGUUAUGAUUCUCAAGCAAUCUGUGCUUAUCAUUUUGGAAGUCCAGGUCAUACCACUGGUAAUUUUUGGACUCUAAAACAUAAGGUUCAGGACAUAAUUGAUUCUGGAGAUAUUUUUCUUAGAAGAAAGGGAGAACAUGGACCGAAUAUCAGUCAUAAUCUUUUACCUGAGCAUGGGAGUAAUAUGGGGGUUAUCAUCGCUCAUGAAGAUUUUAUCGAUCCCACUCAAUACAUUGUAGAUGAAAUUGAGGUGUUUGGGGUAAUGGAGGCUGACCAUGCGAAAAUGAGAAAACUGUCGUCUGUUGAAGAGUCCACAACUAAUGAUAAUGUUGAGGAACAGUUGAAAUCUUUUGUGUGUGAAAAAAAGGAGCCAUUUAUAGUGGAAGGAGGGCCUUUCGAGGUUGACAAUUCUAAAGUUUCGUUUAUUUUCGAUCUAUCAUCUUUUGAAUGGGAUAUAUCAGAGCCAGUCAUUCUCAAAUUUUCAGAACAAAUGCCUGUUAAUAACUUGCAAGUGGUGCCAUGGAACUAUGAGGAACCUAUUCUGUUGAUUGGAGAUAAAAAAAUGCUUAAAGGAAGAGGUAUCUACUAUUACCAUGUCUGGGAGAAUUGUGGGAAACUCCGAAAUUAAUGUUCAGUCUAGAGCCAAGGUUAAAUCUCCGACGCCCAAGCCUCUUGUAUAUGAAAAUGAAGUAAUGGAUUUUUUAAAGAUGUUGAAGAGAAGUGAGUAUAAAAUAGUAGAAUAGUUGGAUGGGAUGCCUGCUCAGAUUUCUUUUCUGAAUCUUCUCUUGACCUCCGAAUUACAUAGAGAAACAUUACUCAAAAUCUUGAAUGAGGCUCAAGUGCCUAAGAUAUCUCGAUGGAUAAAUUUUCUAAUAGUGUGAGGAAUGUACUUGCUGCUAAUCAUAUCGCAUUUUUCGAUAACGAUCUGACCACAGAAGGGAUUGUGCUUAACAAAGCCUUAUAUAUAUCAGUCCGUUGCAAUGAAAAGCUGUUGCCGAGGGUCUUAGUGGAUAAUGGGUCAGCGUUGAAUAUCUGUCCAUGAAACACUCUCACUAAACUUGGAUUUGUUGAUAUCAAACUCCGCCCGUCUGUAACUGUGAUUCGAGGAUUCGAUGGUUCAAGAAGAGAAUCUAUGGGUGAAACAGAUCUGGUAUUGGAGAUAAACUCUGCUCAAUUUCAAGUUACUUGUCAAGUCAUGAAUUUCUCCAGUGUUUACAAUAUUUUGCUUGAAAGAUCUUGGAUACAUGCUUCCAAUUCAGUGCCAUUUUCUCUGCAUUAAAUGUUGAGAUUUAUUGUGAAUGAUCAGCUCAUACUGUGUUUGCCAAGGAUGACUGUACCAUGAUUGUUGAUGCAAAAUUCAAAGGUGAAGGCAGAAAAAGGACUCCAAUCUCAUCUCAUCAUGUCGCUGACAUCGUUUCUGUGCGAUGGAUAUCCAAAGAUAAGUCGCUGACUAUAUUAGAUUUGCCAGAGGCCAGUAUUAUGAUAGUUAGGAAGAUGAUUCGAGGCGGAUAUGAAAUUAGAAAAGAUCUAGAAUGGGAAUUGCAAGAAAUUUUGAAACCAAUAGAGAUCCCGAUGCAAAAAGAUACAUUUGGACUGGAAUUUCAUUCAACUGCAAAGGAUAGAAGAGAAAUGCAAACUAGAAAACAAGCUGAAAAGGAGGGUAGACAAACUGUUUUAAAUGUCCUACCGCUAUAUCACAUCUUUUCUCGCCAGUCAGAAGUGAUUCUGUCAGAAGAAGGUUCCUGUUGAAAAAGUUGAUGUGGACUUAUCUCAAUUAUUUGUCGAGGCUAUUUGUGGGGAGGAGCCAUCAGAGAAUUCAGAAUUUUUUUCAAUUAUCGAAGGAGUUAUCCAAAAUUGGACUGCUGAUCAUCUUCUCUUUAAAAAAAUUUUGAUAAAUUUAGGAGAAUUGUCUUUUGUCUAGAUCAUAUCCAGAUAGGAUGGUAGUCUGGAUCUUUUGUUAAAAAAAAUUAUUUUCAUUUUUUAAACCUUUUUUCUCAUUUCAAUUAAUAUAGUUUGUUUUGUUCAAGAAAAUUGCUGAAACGAAAAUAAAGGUUGGGCUAGAUAUGUCUUUAAAUAGCAAUCAUGUCUGUAUAUUUAUCUUUUUGUGAAGUCUCGAUGCAUUUUGAAUUUAAUGAAAUAGAAGACUUCUCCUAUAUUUUCUAUUUAUUUAUUAUGUAUGAUCUAUUCUAUUUUCAGAUGGUCACAAAUAAAGCCCUCUGACCCUUUGGAUGUCACCAUUUUGGAAUUUGAUGGUUGCAACCUCGAUAUCUCCCAUGAAUUUAAAUCACGCAAUCUGAAAUUCAAAACGAGAGCGAUGCUGAGGAAAAAUUUGAGUCCAUUUCAAGCGAAUUAAAACAGUAUGAAGAGAAACACAAAUCCAAUUUAGAAGAAAUAGAAAUCAUCAAUAUUGGCACUAAAACUAGGUUAAAGAAAUUAAAGUCAGCAUUCAUUUGAAUAAGAAACAGAAGGAGGAAAUGAUUGAAUUCUUAAAAUUAUUUCAAAAUGUGUUUGCAUGGUCAUACGAUGAUAUGCCAGGGGUCUCUGUGAAAAUAGUGGUUCACAGGUUGCCAACUGAUUCAAAUUUUUCACCUGUAAAGCAGAAGCCACGAAAAUUUAAAUCGAAAAUGAGCCUUAAGAUAAAGGAAUAAAUUGUGAAACAACUCAAUGUCAAGAUAAUCGUGGUGUCUCAUUAUCCCAUUUGACUUUCGAAUCCUGUGCCAGUGCUUAAGAAAUCUGGGGAGGUGCGAGUAUGUGUUGAUUACAAAGAUCUGAAUAAGGCCAGUCCAAAAAAUAAUUUUUCUUUGCCAAAUAUUCAUAUUCUUUUAGACAAUACUGUUGAACACGAAAUUGAAUCUUUUGGUGAUUAUUUUGUUGGAUAUCAUCAAAUCUUAAUAGCAGAAGAAAACAGAGAGAAAAUUUCUUUUAUCACCUCAUAGGGAACCUUUUGUUAUCGAAUGAUGUUUUUCGGGUUGAAGAAUACUGGAGUUACUUAUCAGAAGAUCAUGACUAUCCUGUUUCAUGACAUGAUCUACAAAGAAAUGGAGGUUUAUGUGUAUGACAUCAUAAUUAAAUCAAAGAAGGUCGAGGACCAUUUGGUUGAUUUAAAGAAGCUGUUUGAAAGGUUUAGAAGAUAUAAUUUGAAGUUGAACCCUGCGAAAUGUGCUUUUGAAGCCCCAGCUGGCUAAUUAUUGGGUUUUAUUGUCAGCAAAAAGAGUAUAGAGAUAGAUUCUACGAAAAUAAAAGUAGUUCGAGAUAUGCCCAUUCCAAAACUCAAAAAAAUGUGAAGAAUUUUUUUGAAAAGAUCAAUUUCAUUGUCCGAUUCAUUGCACAGUUAACCUUUACCUGUGAGCUUUUAUUCAAAUUAUUGAAAAAGAAUGCGUCGAUGAAUUGGAAUGCAAACUGUCAGCAAGUUUUUGAUAAAAUCAAGAAUUAUUUGUUAAAUCCUCCGAUUUUAGUGCCACCUCAGUCAGGAAGACCUCUGAUUAUGUAUUUGUCUGUUCUUGAUGAGACUGUUGUAUGCGUUCUGGGACAGCAUGACGAAUCUGAGAGAAAUGAACAAGUCAUCUACUAUCUGAGUAAGAAAUUUACAGUUUAUGAGCCCAACUAUUCUUUUCUUGAGAGAAGUUAUUGUGUUUUAGCAUGGGCAGUUCAGAAAUUGAGACAUUAUUUGCUCGAUUAUACCAUUUACCUAAUUUCUCGUUCUGAUUGUCCAAAAUACUUAUUGGAAAAGUCGAUGUCCACGGGACGUAUGGCUAAGUGGCAAAUGAUUCUUUCUGAAUUCAACAUCGUCUUCACAACACAAAAGGCAGUCAAGGGACAGGCCAUAGCAGAUUAUUUGGCAGAAAAUUCAAGAGAUGAUGAUUACCAGCCAUUGCAUACCUACUUUCCUGAUGAAGAAAUUCUGUUCAUUGAAACAGUUGAGAACAUGAGUGAGCAGUAUCCUAGAUGGAGGUUAUUUUUCGACGGUGCGUCAAAUUCUUUUGAAGUUUGAAUUGAGCAGUUUUAGUGUUGUCUGAAGGGAAACUCUAUCCUGCUACUGUCAAAUUACUAUUUCCUUGUACCAACAACAUGACCGAGUAAAGCUUGUAUUUUUGGAUUGAAGAUGAUAUUGGACAUGGAGAUCAAGGACCUGAUAGCAUUUAGUGAUUUCGAUUUACUUGUACACCAGACGCUUAAGCAGUGGGUAACUCAGGAUUCAAAAAUUAUGAUGUAUCAUUGUAACUUGUUUAGUUUGGCCAGCAAAUUCAGAAUUUUAGAACUUAGACGUAUUCCCCGCACUUGUAACGACUUUGCCGAUACUUUAGCUACUCUGUCUUCGAUGAUCCAACAUCCAGAUGGGUUGGUGAUUGAACCUAUACACAUUCAACUUCAGGAUAGGCCAGCGCAUUCUCUGGUUAUGGAAAUGGACUCUGAUGUUCGCCCCUAGUACAAUGAUAUUAAGGAAUUCAUAAAAACGGAAUCCUACCCUCCUGAUGCUGAUUUCGUUGUAAAAAAUUUCUUACGCAAAAUGUCAUCAAGAUUCUUCUUGAACAGAGAAGUGCUAUACAAAAAAAUAUCUGAUUUGGGCCUUCUGAGAUGUAUCAAUGAAGAGAAAGCCAAUUAUAUGAUGAAGGAACUGCAUAAUGGGGUUUAUGGGCCACACAUAAAUGGGCAUCUAUUGGCUAAGAAGAUCAUGAGAAUAGGGUAUUGUUGGUUACCAUGGAGCAUGACUGUGUAGAUUUUGUUAGAAAGUGUGUCAAGUGUCAAAUGUAUGGUGAUGUUAUACGUGCUCCUCCUACAGAAUUGCACAGUAUGACUGCUCCGUGACCAUGUUCGAUCUGGGGAAUAGAUGUGAUCGGAACUAUUGACCUUCCUGCUUGGAAUGGGUAUCGAUUAAUUUUAGUGGCGAUUAAAUAUUUCACCAAAUGGGUUGAAGCCGCAUUCUAUAAGCAGGUGACUAAAAAAGUAGUGUCAAAUUUCUUGAAAAAUAAUAUCAUUUGUCGUUUUUGGGUGCCGAAAACAUUGAUCACUGAUAAUGUCAAAAACCUCAAUAAUGAUAUGGUUGAUGAAUUAUAUGAACAGUUCAAGAUUAGACAUCAAAAUUUUGCCAUUUACAGGCCUCAGAUGAAUGGAGCCGUUGAAACUGCAAAUAAGAAUUUGAAAAUGAUCAUUCGUAAGAUGACUGAAGUACAGCGGGAUUGGCAUGAGAAACUGCCUUAUGAAUUGAUGGCGUACAGAACUACGAUCAGGACUUCUACCGGUGCAACUCCUUACUCUCUUAUGUAUGGAAUGGAAGCAAAAUUGCCUGCAGAAUUUGAAAUUCCUUCCUUACGCAUUUUGAUCGAAGCUCAGAUAGAAGAAGUUGAAUGGAUCAGAGAACGUCAUGAGUAGUUGUAUCUAAUUGAUGAAAAGAGGUUGAAUGCCGUCUGUUAUGGACAAUGUUAUAAGCGAAGAAUGACUCGUGCUUAUAACAAGAAAGUUAAGCCUAGUUUGUUUUAAGUCAGAGAUAAGGUCUUGAAACAAAUUCUUCCAAUGCAAGAGGAGGCUAAUGAAAAGUUUGCUCCCAAUUGACAAGAAUCAUUGAUUGUUAAGAAAAUGUUAUCCCAAGGAGAGCUUAUCUUUAUGGAAAUGGACGAUCAAGUUUUUUUCCAACCAAUUAAUGCAGACAUGUGUAAAAAAAUUUUCAUUUGAUUAUAAAAAUUUUUCUUUAAAAUUACUGCAAGAGACGGAUUUAAGGCAGACUCUUUCUCAUUUUUCCAUCUCGAUAUCCUAUCCCUAAUUUUUUUCUUUUGACUUUUCAGAACCACCUCCUUUUCGCUUGGUAGUCCCUUAAGAUGAUUAACCCUAUACUGGGGCAAAUUUGUUUCAAAAAAAAGAAAAAAAAAAGAGAAAAAGAGAAAAGAAAAGAAAAAAAUAGAGAAAAUUGGUUAGAAUUAAACAGCGGCUAAUUUUAUCUCUUUCCAACCCUAGACCAAAGCAAGUUUUUCGAAAGAAUGCUAUCUCAAAUGAUUGCAAACCCAUCAUAUGAUCCACUUUCAAACCUCAAUAUUUCUUUCACUAUUUCAUCCGAUCCUAGUUACAAGAGUCCAAAGUUGCCGACUUUCAUGUUUUGCAGUAGUUUGAGGAAAAUUUUUUUUAAUCAAUUGACAAAUGAUGUAAAUAUAACUUUUCUGAAAUAUGUCAAAGAAAAUUAUCUCAUUGACGCCACAAAUUCCCAAAAUAUGACUGGAUUGAUACAGUAGGGAUUAAAAUCAUCUUGUCUAUGUCUCAAGGUGAAAAUUUGAAAGGGCAUCUUCUAAAAAAAAAAGAAGAACAAAUUGAAAAAUGAAAAAAAACAAAAUAAAGGAAAAAGAAAAGAAAAAGGGUGGGGGUAAUUUUAGUAAAAACCCGAAAGGGCGCUAAGGUAGGGUUUUGGAAUACAAGAGGAUCGUGAACGCAGAACAAGAGGCUGAGGUCUGAAAGCUGGUGACUAUGUUGAUUUGGGUCUCUUUCAUACUGUUGUUCUUUUGCCGACAAUGAAUUUCAAAAUGGAUGACGUCAAAAGGGUUAGAUGAAGCACUUUUCUUCAUCAAUGGCUGUCCUCUAAGUAUGUGUCCAAUUUUUGACCCUUGGACUCGUGUUCAUAAAUCCAACAAUUUUGUUUUGCUAUUCUAUUUACUAUUUUAUUUAUUAGGUAUCAUUGUUUAUUUCAUAUCAGCAUUAUUGCAUAAUAAAUAAUUCAUAUUCAAUUGUUUAUAUCGCUCAUUUAUUGGGUCUCAUUCAAAAGACAAUCCCUUAUAAUUUAUCCCAAAGGAGUCAUGAAAUUGAAGGUCUUAUGAUAAUAAAGUAUGGAUAAUUGACAUUUGACAAUUGCAAAGAUUCUGAAGGGGUUGUCGACCGAACCUAAAGGAGUGAUUUGUUGAUGUUGAAACUCAUGUUUACAUGGUUCUCAAGGCACAGGGAUGACAUGGUGGCUGCGGUGUUUUCAUCACAGUUGUUUCUUCUUUUUUUUUCCUUUUUGCAGGAAAAAUUAUGUGGCACAAUACUGAUUUAGUUGAGCAUGAUUCAAACUGGGACAAAUGGUAGAAUGAUUGAGUUCCAGGUUUCGCUGUACAUUUCUGAAGAAAGAAAAGAAAAAUCAUUAUUUUCUUUCUUUUAAAGUUCAAAAAAUCAAGAAAAGUUGUAAGUCCACCAAGUUUGUCUUGGUUUAUUACCUUUUAAGCAACAUGCAUUAUGAUCUUUCAGUUCGAUAGCAAUUGUGUUUCCAUAUCUUCCACUAGUUAUUUUGACUCGAGUUUAAUCCCACCUAUUAUCUAGGUUUCGAUCAUAUUUUCAUUCUCUUGAUAGGUAUAUGGGUUUGGAUUCAGCUCCAUUGAACAAUCUAGAUGCAAAUUUAAUUUUCUGUGGGUAAGUCUCAGUGUCCACCGCGCACCUUUCUACCUCCUUCUUGACAAGUCAAAAGAUCAAAUUUAAUUUUUUAUUGGUGAGUCUCAACGUCCACCGCGCACCCUGCUACCCCCUUCUUGAUAAUUUAAUUUUUUAUUGGUGAGUCUCAACGUCCAACGGGCACUCUUCUACCCCCCUUCUUGAUAAUUUAAUUUUUUGUUGGUGAGUCUCAACGUUUACCGCGCACCCUUCUAUCCCCCCUUCUUGACAGAUAAAAAAUCAAAUUUAAUUUCUUGCUGGUCAGUCUCAACGUCCACUGCGCACCCUUCUACCCUCCUUCUUGAUAAUUUCAUUUUCUGUUGGUGAGUCUCAGUGUCCACAGUGCACCCUUCUAUUCCCUUAUUGACAGAUCAAAAGAUCAAAUUUAAUUUCUUGUUGGUGAGUCUCAGCGUCUGUCGCGCACCCUUCUACCCUCUUCUUGAUAAUUUAAUUUUCUGUUGGUAAGUUUCAGCGUCCACCCCUCUAUCUUGAUAAUUUAAUUUUCUAUUGGUGAGUCUCAGCGUCCACCGCGUACCCUUCUACCCUCCUUCUUGACAGAUCAAAAGAUCAAAUUUAAUUUUCUGUUGGUGAGUUUCAGCGUCCACCGCGCACCCUUCUACCUUCCUUAUUGACAAUCAAAUUUAAUUUCCUGUUGGUGAAUCUCAGCGUCCCUCGCGAACCUUUCUAUCCCCCUUCUUGGAGAGUAACCGCGUCUCUCCGUGUAUCUUUUCCUAAAUUAUGACAAUUUACUUAUUUUGAUUGUUUUGAUUAAUAAUUGUGCUUUCUUAUUCAUUUUAUAUUUCAUGUUUAGGAGUUUUAGAGCUCAGACUUUUUCAACUUUGCAAAGAUCACAGAUGGUCAAUGCACUUGUGGCUCACUUGUAUUCGAACUACGUUUGACCUUAUUCUCAUGGCGGGAUACGUAGGCAACUUUACACGAGUUCGGUCACGUCUUUUGCAAUGUUAUUGUAUCAUUUUUGUCCAAUAAUUUUAGCCAAAUGUUGGCUUGUUAUUUUAACUCAGGUGCAAUUAAAAGAGAUAGGUAAGCAAUUUGGUGUUCACGCCUUUGUCUUCAGUUUCUUCAAAACUCUAGACAAAGAGGGGCAAGUUGUAAACGUCAAAUUUUUGUCAAAUUUUAAUAUUUUUUUGAAUUUUUUUAUUUAAUAAGUUAUUUAUUGUCUUGUAUUUUAAUGUGUUUUUUUUUCUCAUUUUUGUAGUUUUAUCUUAAGAAAAAAAAAGAGAAAAGUCAAAAGCAAAAGCAAAAAUCAAAAAUCAAACUAAACUUACACAUUUUCAUCAUUUUCCCUGCCAAAACAACUAUUAACCCAUUUUACACUUAAUUGCCAUGCACCUUUCUUUUCAUUAGCUGAGAAAAUCAUCAUUUUGGCAAAACUAACACACAAACUCCACUUUUUGGCUCCCAAUAUAUAUCUCUCGGCCUUGCUCUUCUUUUUGCUUGGAAGUCAGACACAAUAAGGAAGACAAAAAUCAACAUACUCCUCCCAGGUCACUCUCGCCUCUCUGUUUUCUCUCAACUAGACAAACACACACAACGACAAAAGCUCCAUUCAUUUCUUCUUUUGAACCUCUCGGCUCCCUCUACACAUUUUCUUCCACAAAAUCAAAACACAAAAUGGGAGGUAGCAACCGGUUGGACAAUUGGAGUUUGGGAAUUUAGUCAAAAAAAACUUUAGCCAACGGAACAUAAUUCUAGUUGAGGUAUUUUUUCCUUUCUUUUUCCAAUUUUUUUUCUUCUUUUCUUUUUCUUUCCUUUUUUUAGUUAUAUUUAAAGCAUGUUUAGUUGCUGAUUUGUCCCUUUCUCUUGCUGGAUUUAUUGUUGUGGUGUUGUUGGGCAAGUCCAAGAUUAGGUUGAGGAAAAGAAAGAUGAUUUUUGUGUAUGCAUGCUAAAUGUUUGAUAAAAUGCCGAAAUGAAAAAAAAAAAAAAGAAUUAAAGUAGUGAAAUAGAUGAUUAUAACUAAUGUGUGGCCUGAAGGACAUUCGGUUAUCCAAGUUUUCUCGAGUUUUGAGUCUUAAAAGUAUUGAAAGUUUUUUAAAUUUUUAGGACUGUUUUGAUUUAAUUUUGUCAUAUUUGUUGUUGCUUCUAUUGAUUUCAGUUCAGAUUUAUGUUGUAAAAAUCACAAUGAGUGUUGUAGUAUGAAUUUUAUGAUUUUUAGUGGUGACUAUAGUAGUUUUUAAAAAAUAAAAAUUGGGUUUUGUUUUGGCCAUUUCGCCACUUUUGGUUCAUGUUUUGUAAAAACUAAGCUCAAAAAUGGAAUCUACGUGAAAAAUCGAGUGAGGGGUGUAUUUUGAGAAAAUUUAGCGAUCGAAAAAUUCAUCGGCGGCCGCCAUGGCAGCCGGUGGCUGGAGUUUCAGAAGAAACGGAAGUGGAGGGAAAAAGAACGAGGGAAAGAAGAGGAGAAGAAAAAAAACAUAAAAGAAAGAAAAAAAUGAAUAAGGAAAAAGAAAAAAAAAGUGUUGGGCUAAUGUUUUAUUUUCGGUUGGGCCAAGAAUUUUUUUUUUGUGUUGGGUUUCGAUUGGACUUGUAUUUGGGCUUGUGAUUCAAACCCAACCCCUUUUCACCAGGUUUAGCUUAGUAAAUUUAGUGGGUUGGCCCGUAUCUUUUAACACUGGGUUUUUUAUGGGUCAGAUGGCCUUUGGCCCGACAAAAAUACAAGAAAGGCCCGAUAGCUUUUUCUUGCCCAAAUCAGAAAUCAAAAUUUUCACUUUAAUCCCUGAUUUUUGGAGUAGUUUUACUGUGGCCCUAAAAAUUUAAAUUUCUUUCACUUAGGCCUUAAAAUAAUUUUACGUUGGUCCCUGCACUUUAUCUUUCAUUCAAUUUUGACCCCUAAACUUUGAAAAAAUUAUGUUUUUACCUCAAAAGUUUUUUCAAUUUUGCAAUUUAGUCCCUUGUGAAUUUUGACUCUUUUUACUAUGAUUGUUUCUUUUCUUUAAUAGCUAAUUAUAUUACUUUUGAAUAUAUUUAACUUGUAAUUUUUAGAUGUUCGUAAGUUUCUUUAUAUUUGACAUAUUAAUUGAAUUUAGUAUUUUUAUCAUUAUUAUUAUUUUCAAUUAAAUUGGUGUCAUGAUUCUUUUGCUCAUUUUGAGUACAAAUAGGCAAUUUGACUUCCAUUUAGUCACCAUUGCAAAAGGGAGAUACCCCUAAAAUAGAUAGGUCAUUGCGUGUUUAUGUGGCUUAUGUGUUAUGUGCUUUAUCCGCUUUUCUUAGAAUUUUUGUAUUUAGAUAUUAUGUUUAUGUGUUAUGUGCUACGUGCUCUUAUAUGUUUAUUUGUUUUAAUUUAUGCCUAUUUGUCUUACUAUGUAUUAUUAAUGCGUGACGUCACCACACUAGUCCAACGCUAGUUGUGGUUUUUCCCUCCGUUUAUUUGCUAGUCCAACGCUAGUAUGGACUUUUAGAAAUGGGUUAGUCCAACGCUAGACUCUUAGAUUGUUUAUGCAUUAGAUUCAUCUUUUGUGUGAUAUUUAUUACAUUUUCAUGCAUAUUUUUAUUUUUAGAAUUUUUUGUCAUUUGCAUGAUAUUUUCUAUUAUAUUAUUCUCUAUCCUCCUACCCUUCAUAUGUAUUAAUCAUAUCAUUUAAAAUUGUAUCUCAUUUAAGAAAUUGUAAAAAAAGUUAGUUCAUUUGCUUGUUCAUAUUAGAAAAUUAUUCUUUGAACAUGGGAAAUGAGUUAUUAUAAUUCUUUAGUUUAAAUACCCCAUCGAUUCUUAUGUAAGAAAAUUAUGUCACGAGUUUUUGCCUCCCGUACCUAUUAUGUUGCAUUCCAUUUUCUUUGAUCACUUAUACCUAUGUAUAUAAUUUAUUUUUUUUAAUUUCAUCAUUUGCAUAUUCGUGACACAUUUAAGGAAUUAUUUUAGCCUUCGCAAUUAAUGCGAUUGAUAUCAAUUAAACCCUUGAAUGAGCAUUUUGUCCAUUUCGAUAUUUUAUUUAGAUUUGCAUCCAUAUAGGAAACAUCCAAACGCGAUAAAUUUAAGAGUUAGAUUAGAGAAAUUUUGACUAAACCAGGCAAUUAGCUUAGACUAGGUUGAAAGGGUGUUUUAGGUUCAAAUUAAUCAAACCUUUGCCUUCAUUUUCUUCAACCGUGACUCUCGAACUCAUUUUCUCUUGUUUUUCAAAGACCUGCAGUUGACCAAAAGGGUUUUAUUUUAUUUUAUUUUUAUCAAAAAUAUUUUUGGGUGACUUGGUACACUCAAACUCAAUACCAAGUGACGACUCCAAUUUUUCUUAAAAAUCAUUUUAGACUAAAUUUUGGACCCAAACUGUCGCAUUCUUUAAAGUUCCAUUCGAGGUCCUUUUUCGCUUAUUUUAAGAUAAAAUCACAUCUUUUAUAAAUACUUAUUUUCAUCGCGAAAAAUGGAGCGCGACAAGAAUCUUUUCAAAAAAACUGUCAAUAGUAUUUUCUCAUCCGGUCUGGAGAGUUUGAUGAAGAGGAAGUGUAUGAAAUCUCUAAAGAUCUAAACAUCAAUGUGGAGAAAGCUAAACGAGUUGUUCACGAUCUUGCACGGAGUAGAUUGUCAAAUUCACUUAUUCAAGCCGUGGCACUUCUUCGACAGAGAAAUCAUGCUGGGGUGGUAAGGAAGCUUAUUCUUGGAAUCUCUUUGACUGGUUUUCUAAUGUAUUUGCUCUCGAUAUGUCUUAGAUUUAAUGCUUCUUCCUACUGUUUUAGGUAUCCUCACUGAACGACUUGUUAGCUUGUGACAAGGCUGUUACGACUUGUUAGCUUGUGACAAGGCUGUUCCUUCUACCUCAUUAACAUGGGAGGUACCAGAGGAAUUGGUUGAUCUGUACGUCAUAUACCUGAAAAAUGAUCCAACACCAGAAAAGUUAUCCAGAUUACAGUAUCUACUGAACAUAAGUGAUUCAACAGCAGAAGCUUUAUGAGCAAUGAAGGAUAGAGCACUGCCAAAUGGAAAUGCAGCUGCUGGUGAGGAAGAGUUUGUAUUUUGAAGGGUCCAACCACGUUAGGCCAUGCCCUGAUUGAGUCACAUUACUUUGCCCCUUUUUCCUUGUAGAUGGAAAGGAAAAGAUCACGAUUUUGUUUGCCCAUUAAUGGGUUAUAAACUCGUAGUAAUUUCUUGGCUUGAGUUGAAAACGCUUUGGGUUUGAAAUGAAAAGAAAAAGGAGAGCCUCAACACGCACUUGCCAAAUAUCCUCACCUUUGUUUUUGGGUUCCCUCUCUGCAAAUUAUAUAUUAUGACAAGAUUUUUGGUAUGAUGGUACGGUGACUGAUAAUAAGCUUAAGGUUUUGUUUGAUAACGUAAUUCAACAUUUAAAUUUAAUGGAUUCAGAUCUUAACGUGUUCAGAUGCGUUUGAUAAUAAAAAAUUGAACAUGUUAAUUAAUUAAUUGAUACUGAAUUUCUCAUGCAAAAUUUGCUCUUAAAACUAAGUGAUAAGUUAUUCACUUAUUACUGAAUGUGAUAUAUAUUCAAAUAUAUUAGAUGUAAUGUUGACCUUGGUUGAUCAGUCCUUGGUUUUGAUGAUUAACAAACCAAAAUGUAGAUUUGGGCUAAUAUUUUUAUGUGAGCAAUUUGUUAGAACAGAUUCUUGUGGCACAAAAGAAGAAGCAAAAACAGGGCACUCAUGUGGGACGUCCGAAAGGAAGCUAUCGGACGUCCGAAAGGAUGAAGAACAUCAAGAAGGAAACUCUGUCGGACGCUCGUGAGGAAGCAUCGGACGUCCGGAAGGAUCGGACGCACAUCGAUCUCAUCGGACGUCCGAGAAAUUUCGCAAAGAUUUGAUGACUCUCUGACGGCGUUCGGACGCAGGAUUCGGACGUCCGACAGGUGGUUUGAACGCAGGGUUCGGACGUCCGACAGGUGGUUCGGACGUCCGACAGGCCAACGGCUAGUUUUGACAGCAUUUAAUAUUUGACCGUUAGAGAGCCUUUUGAAGCCAUUUCUCACCUUCUAUAAAUACCCCAAAGCACAAGAAGACAAGGGACUUUUGCCAACACAAAAUACAAGCUUACAAGUGAGAUUUUUGAGUAGAAAGAUUCUUUGUUGGUUGUAUAAGGGGUUGGGGAAGUUGGGUUGUGAGGUUGCUCAAGUGAAGGUUUCUCUCUAGGAGAAGUAAAACCUUGGUGAAGGUGAACCUAUCACUUGAAGUGGUAAAACCUUGGUGAAGGUUGCCUCAUUUGUAUAAAAUAGUUCUUAAUUGGGUGAGUGAUCUUUCAAGUGUAGGUUGUUGAGGGUUAACUAGAAUAGUUGUAAAACUCCUUGGCUCAACCAAAGAGUGUUUGGGGUGAGGAAGGAGUGAGCCUUCACUUGUACAUCUUGGUUAGCAUCGCCAUCUAUUGAAGAGGCUAUUGGAUUGAUAUUUGGUUUGCAUUUCUUAUCUUUUCUCUUUAAUUAAGUUUUCUUUAUUGUGCUUAAAUUUGAUAUAUCUCUGUGCAUCUUUGUGAAAUUGUUUGUACUCAUUGGGUUGCACCGGGCCUUACAAUUGGUAUCAGAGCUUGGUCUCCUUGAGACUAAGCUCAAUCGGCUUGGAGUAAAGAUCAUGGCAACCAUAAAAGUUUCCUUUUUAGAAGGGCAAUCUAUUGAUAGACCACCUAUGUUUAAUGGUUCUCAUUUUAGCAUGUGAAAACAAAGAAUGAUGAUUUUCUUAUAAUCCGUUUAUAUUGAAUUAUGGUAUGUGGUAGAAGAUGGUCCUUAUGAAGUUAGAAUAGUUGACUCUACCACCAAUUUGAGUAGAUUAAAGACUAGACAAGAAUCGAAUGAAAAAGACAAGAGAUACCUUUCUUUGAAUGCCAAGGCCAUGUGUAUAUUGUACAAUGCAUUAGAUGUAAAUGAAUCUAGGAGAAUUAAAUGUUGUAAAUCAGCUAAAGAUAUUUGGGAUAAAUUGUGUGUAUUUCAUGAAGGUAACCUAGAUAUUAAAGAACAAAAGAAAUCUUUGCUUGUUUCUCAAUAUGAAUUUUUCAAAAUGCAUCCUCUUGAAAAUGUUGAUAAGAUGUGUAGUAGAUUUUGUGACAUUAUUGAAGAUCUUAAAUUGCUUGGAAAAGAAUAUUCUUUGGGUGAGAAAAAUAGAAAGAUUUUGAAUGCCUUGCCAAAAGAAUGGAAAAACAAAAUAAAUGCUAUAGAAGAGGCAAAGGAUUUAAAUUCUAUGUCCAUUGAAUCUCUUGUGGAUACCCUAACCUCUUAUGAAUUAAAGCUGAAAUUCAAAGUGCAAGAGGAAGAAAAUGCAAGAAUGUAUAAGAGAGGCAUAGCUUUUAAAACAUCUCAAGUGGGGGAUAACCCAUCCUUCAUGGGUAAUGAAAUCAUGGAAGUGGACAAUGAUAUAACUCCUCACAUCAAAAGUUUCAAGAAGAUCUUCAACAAGAGAUGUUCAAGAGGAGAUUGCAAAAUUACAUGGGAUGAAUGCAAUUCAAAAAGAGAAAAAGAAGAGUUGGUCCAAAUGGCACUAAUGGCCGUUGGAGAAGAUGAGGUAAGUUCUUAUCACUCUUCUUGUGAUGAAGAUAAUGAAGAUGAUGAUGUGAAAAUUCUUAUGAUUAAAAUGCAUAAAAGUUUGAGAAAAUCUUAUGCUAAAAAUAAAGAUUUGAAAACAAAAAUAAAUGAUUUGUUGGAAGAAAACUCCAAACUUUUUCAAGAAAAUAAAUGUUUGAGAAUGGAAAAUGAUGAUUUAAAAAAUCAAAAAAGUGUUUUUGAUUGCAAAAAUAAUUUGAAAAGGAAGUUGGAAGAGAAAACAAAGUUUUAUGAAAAAAUGUUGGAGGAACAAAAUGUGUUAAAGAAAAGAAUUAAUGACUUGAACGAGUUUCUCCAAAUUGAAAAAUAAACGUUUUCUCAAACAAAAGAAAGCAAAUCUUUUCAAGGUACAAAUAAGUUUGCUAUGAUAAGAAGUAAGAAAAUUAGUUGCAUUAAAUCCACCUAUGUGCAAAAUACUUCUAUCAUGUGUCACUUUUGUUGCCAAUUUGGACAUAUGCAAAAUGAUUGCUAUGUAAAGAAAAAUAUGAGAAAAGGUAUGAAAUCCAUGUGGAUUGCUAGAUCAUGUUGUAAUAACUCCCAAGAACCCUAUUAUGGUCUUGACUUGAAAAAUAAAGGGGAAGUUGGCUUUUUGAUUGAUGCCAAAAGGGGGAGUAGGACUUAUUGAAGUUUCUUUGUAUGUUGGCAUUUUCUAAGGGGGAGUUUUAUUUGAACUUAUUUGAUCAAAGAAUCUUCAUUUUGUUUGUCAUCAUCAAAAAGGGGGAGAUUGUUGACCUUGGUUGAUCAGUCCUUGGUUUUGAUGAUUAACAAACCAAAAUGUAGAUUUGGGCUAAUGUUUUUAUGUGAGUAAUUUGUUAGAACAGAUUCUUGUGGCACAAAAGAAAAAGUAAAAACAGGGCACUCAUGUGGGACGUCCGAAAGGAAGCUAUCGGACGUCCGAAAGGAUGAAGAACAUCAAGAAGGAAAUUCUGUCGGACGCUCGUGAGGAAGCAUCGGACGUCCGGAUGGAUCGGACGCAUGCUUCGGACGCACAUCAAUCUCAUCGGACGUCCUAAAAUUUCCACGAAGAUUUGAUAACUCUCUGGACGACGUUCGGACACUGAAACUCGGACGAUAAAAUCUCAUCGGACGUCCGAACAACAACUUGACUGAUUUUCGGACGAUGGGAUCGGACGAUGACUAAGCUGUCGAACGUCCGACAGGCCAACGGCUAGUUUCGACAGCAUUUAAUAUUUGACCGUUGGAGAGCCUUUUGGAGCCAUUUCUCACCUUCUAUAAAUACCCCAAAACACAAGAAGACAAAGGACUUUUGCCAACACAAAAUACAAGCUUACAAGUGAGAUUUUUGAGUAGAAAGAUUCUUUGUUGGUUGUAUAAGGGGUUGGAAAAGUUGGGUUGUGAGGUUGCUCAAGUGAAGGUUACUCUCUAGGUGGAGUAAAACCUUGGUGAAGGUGAACCUAUCACUUGGAGUGGUAAAACCUUGGUGAAGGUUGCCUCAUUUGUAUAAAAUAGUUCUUAAUUGGGUGAGUGAUCUUUCAAGUGUAGGUUGUUGAGAGUUAACUAGAAUAGUUGUAAAACUCCUUGGCUCAACCAAAGAGUGUUUGGGGUGAGGAAAGAGUGAGCCUUCACUUGUACAUCUUGGUUAGCAUCGCCAUCUAUUGAAGAGGCUAUUGGAUUGAUAUUUGGUUUGCAUUUCUUAUAUUUUCUCUUUAAUUAAGUUUUCUUUAUUGUGCUUAAAUUUGAUAUAUCUCUGUGCAUCUUUGUGAAAUUGUUUGUACUCAUUGGGUUGCACCGGGCCUUACAUGUAAUACUUAACAAUUCAAUAACUUAAUAAAUUUAAACUUUAGAUUUUAAUUUUCAAACUUCAGUUUUAUUAAACACACCAUAAAUAUCAAGAAAAUCUUGUCUUGGAAUUUUGAAAAACUAGAAUCUUGUCUGUAAGCAGCUAUAGGUUAGGUAAAUAAAUUUUAAGCUAAAAAAAAAAUUGGAGAACGAGAUUAACUUGGGGAGGUUAGUGCAAUUUUAGAAAUUUAGGGGAGAUGAGUGCUAGUGUUAGAAACCUUAAGGGAGGUUUCUGCAAUUAUCCCAUAUACAAAAGCAAAAGGUUUUUUUAUUUUUAUUUUUUUGGCCAGAACAAAAAGAAGAUUAGUACAUAUGUGGGUAAGAAUAAAAGAUGGCCGUAGCCAAUGUCAUGGUCCAAAUUCUAUUUUCACGAUCGUUCUUGCAUUUAAAUGUUCAAACUCACACCUCUCAAGCCAAAAUACAAGAUGGACUCCAAAAAAAUAGUUUUAUCUUUUAAUCAAAAUUAUUGUGAAAAUAAAAUUUAGACUAUGAUAAUAUUGGAGGAGAAAUGAGUUUGGUGGUAUAUAAAAGAAAAGAGUGUAAAUGUAGAGUUUCAAAUUUAUAUCAUUCCAAUUCUCAUUUAUACAUUUAAAAAAUAAUUGUUUGUUAAAAAAAAAAGACCAUGGCAAAUACUUGCCAUAAAGGAUUGGGAUCAUAACUUCAUUAAGGUAAUAGAUUUUAAGUAAUAGGCAUAAAAGAAGAGAAAACAAACACUUUUAAGAAGACUGUAACGAAUAUUAUCUCUUUUGUAAUGAAAAAAAAUACAUUAGAUGAUUUGACAAUUUAAUCAUAAUUGGUUUGUGAAUGUAUCUUUUUCUUAUGUGAGCGAAGUUAAAUAUUAUAGCAUUUGAAAUUACAGUAAUAUAAUCACAACAAAGAGUAAUAGAGUUCCUUACUUUAUGAUCAUGGGAUGGCAAAAUUUUGAAACUAAAAAGAAAAGCAAAAACUUUUUUUUUUGGUUUGUGCAAGAAGAUUAAAAACUUGCAAAUGUAAUCCUGAAAUUCAAAAAAAAAUAAAAGAAGGUAUAAAAAUGAUAGAAUUGCUCUAAUUAUGUACGAAACUCAAUACAAAUGUGUUAGGAAAUUGGCUUAAUUUCUUUUAGUUAAGAUUCUUAUUUGGUGUGAAAAGUAACUAGUUUCCUAAUUGGAUUUAGUUAUUUGAAAUAGUAGUCAAAUAAAACCCUAUUUAGUUAGAAUUGAUGCUAUUUCCUACUCUAUAUGAGUUUAGGAAAUAAUAUUAGUUUCCAAUUGUCAUUUGAUUUUUUGGCAGUAAUGUUCUCUAUAAAUAGGUAGGUUGACAUACUACAAAGACACACAAGAAAGGAGUGAGAGAGUUCUUAGUGGGUGAGAGGGUUAUACAAGAGUUGGGGUUUGGGAAUCAAGUUGUAAUCUUGUGGUGUUUUUCUCUCAUAGUAAGAACAAGUAUUUCUCUCCGUGGACGUAGGCUUGGUGAUUAAGUCGAACCACAUUAAUUCUUCUGCGUUACUCAUCGUUCAUGCUAGAUAUUAUUUUAUAUUAAAUUGUUGGUCUUUUCUUUUUCAAAUAAUUGGCCUGAUACCCUAACAAGUGGUAUCAGAGCUCCGUUGGGAUUUUGAUUAAUUAUUUGAAAUUGAGUGGGUGGUUAUAUACCAUGGGGUUUGGAACUAUACAGUUUCCAAUUCAACCGUUUAAUGGAACUACAAGUUCACUCUUUGGCAAAGAAGAGUGAAGGAUGUUCUAGUUCAACAAGGCUUGGCAAAAACGUUGAAUGGAAAGAACAAGAAGCCAGAGAGCAUAAAGGAUGAUGAGUUUGAGGAGUUGGACACAAGGUGUGCGAGCACGAUUUGACUCUAUGUGGUGGACAACAUCAUAAAUAAUGUGAUAGAUGAGAAAGAUUCUGUAGCAGACCUCUGGAAAAAAUUGGAAAAGCUUUAUCUGGCUAAAAACUUAUCCAAUAAAUUGCAUCUAAAGCGGCAACUUUAUGCACUAAAGAUGGUGGAGGGUGGCAGGCUCAUGGAUCACAUGAAUACGUUCAACGGAAUUUUGGAUCAACUCCAAAAGGUUGGCGUAGAUAUUGAGGAAGAAGAUAAGGCCCUUUUACUUCUUACCUCAGUCUCUGAUUCUUACGAAAGUGUCGUGCCAACCCUAUUGUAUGGGAAGGACACUAUACAGUUUGAGAAUGUGCAGUCUUCUUUAUUGGAUCAUGAAAAACAAAUGAAGGCAAACCAGGAUAUGACAUAAGAAGUUGCGUUAUUUGCUCGAGGUGAGAAUAAAAGAGGAAAAUAAUUUGGCGGUGAAUCUAAGGCAGGUGGUUCAAAGGCCAAGAAAAAGGGUGAAAUCCAGUGCUUUGGUUGUCAUGAGUUUGGCCAUAUCAAAACAUAUUGCCCUCAUCAAAAGAAAAAUGAUGAGAAUGACUAUGAUGGUGUUGCUGGAUAUGCAUCGGGUGGAGAUAUUCUCACAAUCUCCAAAGGUAAUAAUACUUCUUCUCGUGAUGGUUAGAUUUUAGAUUCUGGAUGUGUUUCACAUGUUUGCUCCAGGUUAUACUAUUUUGAUACUCUCCAAAGAAAGAAGGUAGGUUUUAUGUCCUUGGGUGAUGGAUCUACUUGUCAAGUCAAAGGUGUUGGAGUGGUGAAAAUCAAAAUGUUGAAUGGAGAGAUUCGUUCUUUGGGUGGUGUGACUUAUGUCCCAAAGUUACAAAGGAAUUUAAUUUCUUUGAGCCAGUUAGACUCCGAGGGUUACCAUUUUUUCGCUGCAGGUGGAGUCUUGAAAAUCACACAUGACGAGACGGUCUUGUUGAUGGGGAAGAAGUAUGGUAAUUUGUACCAUUUGAAUACCUCAAUGGAUUGGGAGAUGAAGGGGAUCCAGGAAUGCUCUCAAAUUACAAAUGGUGGUGAGAGAAAAAGUCUUGCUAUGGGAGAGGGUGAAUUGAGACCCCUCUCACGAGUCAACUAGAUGUUGGACUCGAUUAGCUACACACGUUCAUUUGCCGAUUGAAUCAGUUGAAAACAAGACUGUCUUGAUUCGGGUGUGUAGUUAGGCAUCAAGGUACUUGGUGGGAAAAGACAAAUGGAGUUUUUUUUUUUGGUUGGUUUGCUGUGUUCGCUAAAAGAAAUAUUCGCCAAGGUGGAGAUUUGUUAGGAAAUUGGCUUAAUUUCUUUUAGUUAAGAUUCUUAUUUGGUGUGGGAAGUAACUAGUUUCUUAAUUGGAUUUAGUUACUUGAAAUAGUAGUCAAGUAAAGCCCUAUUUAGCUAGAAUUAAAUGCUAUUUCUAGGGCUGUCAACGGACCCGGACCCGGACCGGAUCCGUUAAAUUUAUCCGGGUAUGGGUAGGGAUUUAGUUCCGUUACCCGGAUUCGGAUCCGGGUCCGUUUUGUCAAACAAAAAAUUGGUCGAAUACGGAAUAUAGUAUUCUGGCCCGUAUUGGACCCGGAUCUGGAUAUAAAUGGAUUAAUAAUUUUAAAAAUAUAUAUUUAUUAAUAUAAUUUGAUUAGAAUGAUGUAUUUGAAUAAUCAAUAUAAUUGGACCUGGAUCCUAAUCAAUAUAAUUUGAUUAGGGUGAUGUAUUUGAGUAAGGUUAAUUUGAUUUCUUUUCUUAUUUGAUUUUUUUUGUAUUAGUUAGAAAUUAGUUUAUAAAUAUAUGUAACAUAAUGUAAAAGACCUGUCGGAUGAACUGGUCGGAUCCGGAUCUGAUAUAGUGUGCCGGGUCCGGGUCUGGAAUAAUGAAUUCCGACUCGGACCCGGCCCGUUGACAGGCCUAGCUAUUUCCUACUCUAUAUGAGUUUAGAAAAUAAUAUUAGUUUCCAAUUGUUAUUUGAUUUUUUGGCAGUAAUAUUUUCUAUAAAUAGGUAGGUUGUCAUACUACAAAGACACACAAGAAAGGAGUGAGAGAGUUCUUAGUGGGUGAGAGGGUUAUACAAGAGUUGGAGUUUCGGAAUCAAGUUGUAAUCUUGUGGUGUUUUUCUCUCAUAGUAAGAACAAGUAUUUCUCUCCGUGGACGUAGGCUUGGUGAUUAAGCCGAACCACGUUAAUUCUUCUGCGUUAUUCAUCGUUCAUGUUAGAUAUUAUUUUCUAUUAAAUUGUUGGUCUUUUCUUUUUCAAAUAAUUGGCCUGAUACCCUAACAAAAAAUGCUUUCUUAGUAGGCCACUAUUAGAGAAAAUUAACAAAAUAAUUGUGAAGAGUUUUCAAAGUAGUCAAAGCUGGAGGCAACAAUCAUUUAGCUGAAAAACAGAGGGCUAACAAUUAAUUAUACAAAACUUUGACAGUAGCAGACUAGCAGUUUAUCUUCUCCCUCGCAUUCUCCACCCCCAAGCUCCAACCUAGAGCUGGCAAACAAGCCCAAAACCCAAAACCCCGCCCAAUUUGCCCGUUAAUUUUAAAUAAUGGGUUGGGUCAAUUGGAUUAUGGGUUUUGUUGGGUUGGGUAAGAACAACCCAAUUUAUUCCUUGGGCGGGUUGAAUUUUUUAUUUGAGUACCCAAUACCCAACUUGUUUAAAAGUAAUUCAAAAUAAUAAAUACAAGAUUUAAUACACAUAUGUCCAAUUAUUUGCAUUUGGACAUGUGUUAAUAAUUCAUUCAUUAAUUUGUAUUCAAAAUUCUCAUAUAUAUAUAUAUAUAUAUUAAUCAAUUUUUUAAUUUUUAUUUAAAAGAAAAAAGAAACUUGAAAUAAAAACUCAUGCUUAUUUUACUUUUAUAACAGUAGUUAAACUUGCUCAACUUUUAUAAUAAUUUAUUAUGCCUUUUAAGAGUAUGUUGUUUUCUUCCCCCUUUUUUUUGAUUGUUCUCGAGUUGCUACUUACUUUUGUUUGUUAAUAUUUCGUGUACGUAUAAUAUUGUACAAAUUUCUUUUUUAACCUUUUAGCAUUAUAUAAUUUCGGAUUCUUCAAAUUUACAAACAAAAGCUUACUUUGUGUCAUCCUAAUUUUUCAAUAAUUCAAAAUAAUGCGAUCCCGAUGUGGUAAAAAUGUCAGAAUAGUUCAUGAAUUCUCCUCUCAUUUAUUUCUUAAAAAGUUUGGGAUUUUCCUUAACAAUUUUUUGGGGACCAAUACCAGUUUUACAAUCAUAUAAAUAUUUUCUGCUUUAUAUCAGAGUUGUGGUAAUUCUAAAAGAUUAAUAUGACCAUAGCAUCAAGUAUGAUCCUAGAUGAUUCUAAUUAAUCAGGUGAUGAAUUAUCUAACUAUAUCAAAUCAAUAAAAAAAAUGCCUUCUAAUAUAUAUUAUAUGUAUAUAGAUCAUGAUAUUAACUUUGAAUCAAUAUAGUUGACUUGUGGAUUUUAUUUUGUUUUGAUUAAUUAUGGCAACUUGAGCAUGGCUAAUCCAACGAUUUCAUUUCGUCUGAAGCAAAUACUUCCAAUCUUCAACUUCAUGAGAAGUUUGGAAUCAACAAGAUAAUUAAUUUUUCCUCUUAAUUACUGAGUCCAAAAAACAAAAUACAGUAAUGUCUCCAGUCAUUUAAUAAGUUUCAAUCAAUUAGUAGUAUUAAAAAGUAUAAAGUAAACAAUUUUUUAAGCUAAUCUAUUUAACUGUACAAUUUAUUAUCUAAAAUUCACAAUACAAGCAAUAUAAAAUAUUAUUCUAUUUAUGAUGUGUUUUCAAGGAACUUAAGAAGAGUGUGUGUGUGAAAAUACAUUUAUGUAUGUGAAAAUGUGUUUAUAUGUGUGAAAAAAAAUCAUUUUUGUAUGUUAAAAUGUAUGUGAAAAAGUUUAUGUAUUAAAAUGUAUUAAUUAAUAUGAUGAGUCAGGUGUUUGAGAUAACCCAAUAUGACCUAACCCCAAAUCAACCCAAUCUAAAGUUGGGUGGGUUGGGUACAAUCCAUUUAAGUGAAAACCUAAUAUUAACUCGCUCAAAACCCGCUCAACCCGCCCAAUUGCCAGGUAUGCCUGUUACUAUUGUAUGACAAGAAUUCCUUUCUUCCUCAAAAUCCAAAUCAAUGUAGAUUAUACAAAUGUUAUUGUUGUGACAAAAAAAAAGAAAAAAAAUCCGAACCAAGGAAUGAAUUUGUGGAGGAGAAAAGAUUAAAAAUAGCCAAAAAGUUGGCAUUUGCUUUAUAAUCUCACUUUAGAACUUGAAAAGCACAUUGAUUAAGGGCAGCUUACAUUGUGAAGCACGUGAAUGGUCCGCUUUCAAUUGAUGAAACUUUCUAUUGUUUACCUAUUGUUCGUUAGUUCAAAAGUUUGUCCCAUUCCAUGAAGAUUCAGGCCCCAACUAAACAGGUCCUGCGGCUUCGCAGUUGAAUAAAUUGAAUCUAGCCGCUGCAAACGUGCGGAAGGCGUAAAAGUUCUACAAUUCUUUUUCUUAAAAAACUCAAAUGCAGACAGCCGAAAUAUACAGUACUAAAUGGACAACCACAGGUCCACAACACAACUGCCCAUCGUUGGAGGACAAAUUUAGAAAUGAAAUGAAACACAUAUCCAUGGCACCGUUCCUUUCUUGACGAGAGGGGAAAAAAAGAAGGCAAGAGACUAUAAAGAGGGUCAGAAUCGUGGGGACCAUUUUAGUGCGUUGACAUUCCUGCCUGAAUUCUGUUACUAUAUAUUUUUUUCCUAAAAUGGUACAUUUGAUUUAAUGCAUUAAUAUCUUGUACAAUUAACAUUAACCUUUGCAUGAGUUUUGAAUUUGGAAUUCUUAAUGUGGUUUCUUUUUCUAGUGCUCAAUUGAUGUUAAAAGUUUCGGCAUUUUUCCCAAAUCUUACACCUUUAAAUACCACCUUUAAAACUUGUUCUCGAUUGAUUAUCUUCACUGACUGACUGCAGAUUCUUAUUUUAGAUAAUCAAUUUUUGUAAUGCUUUAAGUUAUCUUUGAAUUUUGAUUGUAAAUUUUUUUAGUGAUAAAAAAAAUUUAAAAUUUAUAAUCACCCAUAAAUAAUUUUUUCUAAUUCUAAUUAUUAUUUAUAAUCAAUUUCCUUAAUCAGAUUUUAUAAAAUCUAAAAUAAUUAAGAACAAUACCUAAGUUGACAAGCUAGCGCGACUUGCGUUUAUAAUGUAAAAUAGAUUAAAGGUAACAUGUCCGAUAACUCUCAUAUUCAGCUCGACCCCAUGAUGACGUGUUUCCCGUGCACUAAAAAGUGCAUAACUCGUCGAAAUUACUACUUGUUAUUUGUUAAUAUGCAGAAACGACUUCCACAUCUUUCUCUUGUCUUUUACCGUUUUCUAGAAGAAUUUGUAGCUUUGUCAGGAUAAUGAAGCAAACAGCAAAAUAUACGGUCAGGCUACAGGAAUAUAAGUGGUGGGUUCAAAUUCUCUUUUUCUUCUCUGUUAAAAAAAAAUUAAAAGAAAAGAUGGUGAUGAGAUAUGGAUGUGUUUGGACAAGGGAUUUGGGGCAGGAACAGCCAACAGAAAAAUCGUUCGGAUUCGUUUAUGUAUUUUGCAUAAAACAUAACUCAAUUUGCAUACAAAUUUGCAUACAAUGUAAUUUACUUUGCACACGAUAUAACUCAUUUUGUACAACGUAUAACAGUAUAACUAUAAAACAAAAUUUUGUGGCCCUCACAUAUAUAGUGUGAAAAAUGACGUACAAGAUGAAAUCUGGAACUUACGGGCCUGUUUGGAAGGCGAGUUUUUUUGGUGUUGGUAUAAAACUUUACUUUAGAUCACUGUAAAAGUUAUAGAAAAACUUUUGUAAGAAAAACUUUGGGUGUUUGUAAGAUGCAAAUUUUUUUUUCCUUUUCCUUUUUCUUUUUUCUUUUUUCUUUUUUCUUUUCUUUCCUCCCUUCCAGCUUCUUCUCCCUUCCCCUUCCCCCUUCCCUCCCCUGUUCCUCAGUCUGCAGCAGAAUUUAUUUAUUUAUUUAUUUUUUUGCAUUUUCUCUCCCCUGUUCCUCUCCCUCCCUUGUUUCUUGGAGCGUCGACCACCAACUCCGGCGCCUCUUCGACCAGAAACGCAGGCGCACUAGAGCGCCUGCCUUCCCAGCAGCCAAGUCACGCCACCCGCACACCAACGCGUGACCUAUCGCUCACCCGCGCAGAUGCAGCCCCGGCCGCCUGCGCGUGCGAUCUCCUCCGUGUGCGCAUUAGCCAGCCCAGCUCCCAAGCGCGAGCACCAGGCGUACGCCUUCUCCACAGCGCGCUCCAGACCUGCUCGCGACCUAGCCGCAACGUGAGCGCAGUCGCGCGACCUCCGUGCCCCUGCUCGCCCCUACGCGCCCACAACCAGCAAGAGCGAGCGACCAGCGCACCUCUCAACAAGCCAGGCGCAUCUCAGCAGGAUAGGGGAGGAAACAGCGGUGGUGGUUGGCGACGGCGGUGGUGGUGGGUUGGGAUGGGGAAGAAAGAAGAAAAAAAGGGAAGGAAAAAUUUUUUUUUGUGUGUUUUGGGUAUUUUGAAGUGUGUAGGUAAAAAACUUUGAGAAGUUUUUUGGGGUUCCUGUAACAAAAGUUGUUAAAAAACUAGUAGGUAAAAAACUUGUCCAAAAACCUGGCUUCCAAACAGGCCCUACAUUUUUUUUGGUUAAAUCUUGACAAUCAACCUUCCGGAACGAUUGUUUCCUGCAACUGUUCCUACCCUCAAUCCUUGGACAAGAGAUUAUUUCAAAUAUCAUUUACAAUAUUUAUUAUAGUAAAUUUUAUGAUAUAUGAAAGAAAAAAGUAAUUAAAAGGAUAAAAAAGUUGAUAAAAAAUGUGUUUGUGACACAAAUAAAUAAUUGUUAUGAAUUAAUGUAAUCUCCAAACAAAUUCCAGGAUAACGGCAUUUGGCUCAAAAAAUAUAAUAGUAAUAAAAUAAACAAAUUGGAAAAAUGGCUUGCAUGGAGAUAGGGAUCAAUUUGUUAGGUCGGUGGGUGGGUGUGCGGCGGGCCCAUAAGCCACCAGCUGGACUAAAUGCUCCGUGUUCGACACGUAAAAGUCCUCCCCGUAGCCCCACCCUCCCUGGUCUUGCAUGUAAUCAGUGUCGAAUGACAAAUUAGCUAAACUCGUGUCUGCUUCAAUGAUUUCGUCUGAUCUCAUGUUCAGCAUUAUAUAAAUUUGUCCGUAUUAUAACUGGAUCAACAAUCAGCGGUGAAAAUGAUUCGGUGCAGCGUAGCUAGUAGCAUAGCAGGCGUAAAUAUUAAAUCAAUAAAUAUAAACCCUAAAAUAAUAAUAUAAAAAAAACACAGUAAAUUCUCUCUUCUUGACAUAUGUGUUCAAAAAUUUAUUACACUUUUUGAUAUUAUUGUGCUUAGUAUUUGCAUUUCUUCAUUUAGUAUCUACAUUUAUUGUAUCAGUGACUACUCUACCAUGCCAUACAAUGCAAUAUUAUUAUAGUAAAAAAAGAAAGAGAGAGAAAGUAGUGGUAUUUAUUUAGGCAUUAUAUUGUUUGGAUUGGUAGUGUGAAAAAAUUUGUUUUUGGAUUUUAAAAAUAUUCUCUAAUUAAUUAGGAUUAAUCUUAUAUACACUAUCAGUGUAUACACUAUUACUGUUAGAUAUAUGACACAUGCGUGAAAUUUAAAUUUUACUUAUGUAUCAUUCAUCGAAUCGUGACAGUGUAUACAUUCUCAGUGUUUAUAAGAUCUUUUCAUCUCACACGUCUUGCAUCUUUAUAUAGUGUUGAAAUUUUUUUAAAAAAAAUGCCAGCACUCAAAUUGUAAGGACAAAAGAAUAUAUAUCACUUACAAAGUAACUCCGAUGCACAAUUAAAGACGUACGGGCUCACGUGAAUAAUGAACAAAUUAUCCAUAAACUAUUAACGAUGAAUUAGUAGUAUAAAAUUUGCCCAAAAAUUAUUUACAUACAAACGAUUGCACCAAAUCCCAACUCGCAAUCGCAAUUUGCAGAGGCGUGCGGACAAAGCAAGAAGGCAGGGUCCAGAGGAUGAAGGAGCAGUAAAGAGCAGCAGGGCCACAGGCGAUUAGUGGGCCGGGGUGGGGGAGGCGAAUCGUAAUUGUAAAGAGGAGGGACAGGUACGGGGUGCCUCCUGAGUUCCUUCGCUGGGUGGGUGGGUUCCCACAUUGCACCACCGAGGGCGAAGUAGAUUAGAAGAAGAGUCCUUCCUUCCCAGCAAGUUCCUCCCUCUCUCUGUCAUGAUAUAAAAGUUAAAAAUAGUGGUAUUGGUGGUAAAUUAGCGGCAACAAGUUGACCUUGACCAACGUGUUCAACAAGCAAAUGCUACUACUACUAUUAUUAUAUUAUAAUAAUACUCUACUGCCACUAUAUAGGUAGUAGUAGUUCUAAUUCUUCUAGAGCUCCAAAUCUUUGACCCAUUCAAACCUGCAUUAGGAUCAUGUAUGAUGUAACUGAUGACGUAACUGGCCGCCGCCGAUACCAUACCACCACGCCUCCAGCCCCCCCUUCCCGGUUAUUGACAGAUCUAGCUUUCUUUGUUUGGGGGUUUCUGUUCUCCUUAGGCACAACCAUUAUACGAUUAUACUAUGCGACGACUACUUUACUGUAACUCGCAACGACUUUGUGAUUGCUUCUAGAAUUCUCGCACCAUUUAAUUAACAUUAUCAGAUUACAGUUGCAUUCCCGCGAUUAAAAUGACCAUAAUGAAUAACCAAAAAAAAAAAAAAGAGAUAGAGAGAGAGAGAAAGAUAUAUAUACAUAUAUAGAGAGAGAGGGGCACCCAUGCAGCAAAUCUAUUGGCAGCAGCUCAUUCACAUCUUUUAUGGACAUCACUCUUGCGAAGUAACACGAGAUUGUAAAUUGUUAUAGACUUGUGAUCGAUCGUUUUAGUUCUAUCAAAGGAAAUUCUAUCUAUUGCCGUCCUCGUAAGCUGUUUGGAUUGCAUAUUUUUUAAGAGUUUAUAGUGCAGCGUAUGUAAAGUAAAAAAAAAAAAAGAUCAAAAAGUAUGUAAAAAAAAUUAUGAAAAAUAUAAAACUUUUUUUCUCCCAAAAAUUAGAAUUCAAACAGUACCUCAAUACGUGGAAUGGAAAGUCAAGGAUUCAAACCUUACUUACAAUCAAUGUGCCUCAAUAUAAGAUUUGUUCUAUAUUCAUAUAGAUGUGCGAUACACCUGUCUGAUAUGAUGGUGAUUCAGUCUCCGUCAGAGUCUCCUGACGCAGUUGUAACACCCUAUAGAGUAGUUUCCUUCUCUAAGGAGUAGAAUUAAAUUAUACUAGAUUAGACAUGCCAUUACACCCAAAAAAAAAAAAAGUAGUGCCUUAGUUUUUACUAGCUGUAAAGUCUGUGACAAUGCAUGGUCCAACUUGCAUAAAAACUUGAGGCAGAAGCUGCUAAGCUUGCUUUUGGUAAUUACUAACCUAGAGCUUCCGAGAUGGUAGUACGUCAAUUGCAACAAAGAAAUAAAUUAAUAUUUUUCUCAAUCCACUGGAAAUGAAUUAAUCUCCAAUCAUUUGUCAAACAAGCAAGCAAAAGAGGGCAAAAAUAGUAGUAAAGAAUUGACUGUGUCAUGUGGGGGUGACAACUUGGGCUGUUUUUGAGCAAAGGGAACAAGAAUCUGAGGAACUUCUGUACCAUAUACUUAGAUUGUGUUUGGAUUGCAUUUUUCAUGAUUUUUCAUGGAAAAAUUACUGUAGCGAUUUGAUGUAUGUGAGGAGAAAAGGUAAUAGGGAAAUGUGAUUACGAAAAAUGACGUAAUUUUCCGACGAAAAACCGCAAUCCAAACAAGGCACUGAAUAUACAAAAUCCCUGUGGGGUAAUAAUGUACAUCAAAACAAACAAACAAACCAACCCACAAAAUGAACAAAUGAAUUUAGACCCGUCUUAUUGCAGCAGCAAAAUGUCUUUUAGCCUAUCCCAAAAGGCAAAGCUUUUGCCUUUUCUACCCCAUUCAAUUCAACACAGCAAUGACUCAAGAAACAUAUCAUCCCUUGGCUCAUCUUUCGCUCUAGAGAAGGUAUUUGCUUGGGGCACGUUCAGGUAAGAUCCCAUUGAAUUCCCAAAGCCAUAAUUCCCAGCUGGAUCCUGCAACAUUUUUAGAGUAUAUGGAGCUUGUUGCCCUUCAGGUGGUGGUGCCCUAAAGCUUCGAACUGGAAUUGGAUAGUUCGAUUGAUGAGACAUUACUGAAGGCCUUACGGCCAUGGGUGCAUUGCUGCUAGGCACAGGCCUGUUGGCUGAAUUGCUACCACUACCACGAGCAGCAGGCACGUCGUGGUUGUGCUUGCCCUCGUAUGUUGUUAUCACCGCCCUCAGAUCGUGUGAGGCUCUUUCUACAUGUUUCCUAACAGGACAACCUGGAUUGGUGCACUUGUAGUAGCUCCUGGACGAUAGAAACAAACCCCCGACAAUUAGAUUAGACUAAUCUGUCAAUGUUGAUGCACUUAAGAGAAACAGAAAAAAUUCCCUGCUUCUUGCAGUUAAAAAGGAUUUUGUCCUACAUAAGAGCAAUUUAAAAGACCCCCGAAGACUAAAACUACAUGACUAAUAGAAGUUCAUGGUCUUAGAACUGUCGAGCUAAUGCUUCAAUGGUCAGUCAAAACAUUCAACCAGAGGGACCGGACCAAGCUAAGGACUUGAGACUCAAAAAAGUUCUCGUUAGGACUUUCGGUCUUUCACAUAAACAAUUGCCCAAAGACAAGACUAGUUGACGAAUUCAAUUCCAAGGCACCACAAAGGCUGGGUGCUGGGUUUGUAGAAGUUGCAAGUUUCUGAAAAUUAGGAUCAAUCAUUCAAACUUUCAAGGACUAUCUUCUUAGAUAAAUGUGGAGGGAACUAAAAGAGCAAUCAAGAUAUAUCUUUAUUACCUUGGAUUGGGAUUUCCUUUCACCACCUUCUGACCAUACUUUCUCCAUCUAUAUCCAUCAUCAAGAAUAUCAAUAUCACUAGUGGUUUGAACAACAACUCUAGGUUCUCUCACAGUCCUGCUCCCUGGAGCUGAAAUUCCUUCACUUUCACUCUCCGUCUUCCUGCAACAUGUAUCAGAACAUCGGUCAAACAUUUAAGACUUACCCUAAUCCAUAAACACAUAAAUUAAAUCUUAAUUUCAUUAACACUAUCAACUAAUUAAGCUUACCAUCUUUUAGCAUCAGGUUCAUCAUCAUCAAAUUCAUCUCCACCUGAUUUGCUCUUAGAGCUCUGCUCAAAAUCAUCAUCCCCGAUCGAUAUGGAUGAAUUCUCUGGUGUUGCAACAGAAUCCAUCUGCCCAUUUCCAGUGGAGGCAUAGGAUUGAUCAGGUACAUCAUUAGAUUGAGAACUGUAAGGUUGGAUGACAACUGAGCAGGCUGUUGAGGAAGCCGAUGAUCGUCUAGUAGAUUGAGGCUUGGGAUGGUUAUGGUUUCCUUUAUAAACUAUUUCAGUUAUUUGUCCAUCUAAAGAUCUCUCAACCUUCUUCUUAGUAGGGCAAUUGGGAUACGUGCACUUAUAAUAGCUUCGCGGAUUUUCGCUCCCUUUAACUUGCUUCUGCCCAUACUUCCUCCAAUUGUAACCAUCCUCCGACCUUCUCCGUUCACUUAAAGUCUGUGAAGAUUGGUUAUAGUUGUUAUAAUCCGACUGAAAUCCGCCGUUUCCUUGAGAAUUGGCCUGGAUGUUGCCAAUUUCAGGAGAAAAACUUUGCAUAGAAGUGACAUCAGAUUUUACGGUAGGGUCAUCCUGCUUGGCGGGUUCUUGAUAGUUCCAAGCUUGCUGCAUUUGUCCCUGUAAAAUUUGAACCAUUUCAGUAUUGAAACAAACACAAAAAUCUACCGGCGUAAAGCGAGAGGCUUUCAAGCGAAACAUGUGAAACUGCUAAAGUACCUCAGGAAUUGUGUUGGUCUGUGGCCUAGAGACAGCUGCCUGGGGCUGGAAAGAGAAGUCCUGGUAGUUCUUUUGUUCUUGCUUGAUACCCUGCUGCGAAUUGUAGGAAUUGCUCUUCCAAUUGAAGGCUUGAAAUGGAAAUGACCCUGUCGUUGGAGAUGGAAGUACCUGCAGUCCAAUUAAAGAUGGGAGUUCAGCAGUCAUAACUCACAUCUAAUGUUGGUUCUCUUAAAUCAAAGCACGACAAGGUUUUAGUAUGAUAAAAAUUCAAACUUUUCUAGUAAUCAUAUGCAGCAAGGGAAACUCGUCAACACAAUUCCCACAAUUUUCAUUUUCAUUUCCUUCAUCUAUAUUCUUGGAAUCCAAGCAGCAAGACAAAACGAAAAGGCAACGAGAAGAAGCUGAAAAGUUGAGUUGAAGACACAUACGCUAGAACCAGAGAGGAGAACUGGAGAGUCCAAGAGCUCAGUUGGGCUCAAGCCAGGGGGAAUAGCAAAGUAAGAAGAAGGAGAAACAGGGGGCGGAGAAAUGGGCAGAGAAGGGGGAGGAAGUGACUUAAACUUAGGUACCCCAGACCCCGUUCUCUCAGCAAUUCGAUCACCAAGUCCUCUGCUUUCUGCUGCCAUACCAGUGCUGGUGGCCAUGGAGUAGCCAUCAGAUGCAAGAAGGUCGGUGAAGGAAGUAGUAGACAUGAACGAAGUAGGAGAAAAUGAGAAAUUUGCGGUGUCCAAGGUUCCUGUAGAGGCGGCCAUUUGAACAAGAAGGAAGGAAGGGAUGAUUAGACCAAGAGAGCUGUAGCUUUAUAUCAAGUCAGGAGGACUGGUUAGAGAAAGAAUCUACCACAAUGAGACAGGGGGUGAACGUUUACACGUAUCUUGCGAGGCAAUUCUUGAACCUUAGGCUGAGGUUUUUCCUUUUCUCUUUUUUUUUUUUUUUUUCCUUCCCUUCCUUCCCUCUCUCUCUCUCUCGUUUUGGGGGAUUUAGCCUUUUAGGGGUCGUUUUGGGGGGCUAGUGUGAGUAAGGCAUCUUCUGCGAAGAUCAGCAGAUGUUUGACCGUGGAAAAAGAAAUACUAGUACAUAAUAAUUUAAUAGUAUAAUAGUAUAUUUUUUGGUUCAAAACUCGUGGGUUUGACCACGAUGGCUUCAUCCAGAAAUGAGAGAGCGGCGGCUGAGAGUUGGAUUUGGAAAGCUAACGCGCUAUGUCGCUCUCAAUUUGGGUGUAUUGUCUCUGUAAAGGAUUAGCAACAGAGAAUUAUUUGAUUAUUGCUAACAGGAGAGUUCUAGAUAAACAAGCAUGUAAACGGUAGCCAAAAAAAAAAAAGAGAGUUUGUGAAUGUUAGCUAGAUUUAUCUUACUAAAAAGGGUUAGUCUUUUAUACACUGAUAAUAUAUACACUAACGGAUCUGAAUACAUAUCAUAUAUACAAAAUUUGAUAUUUAAAUUCAAAUUCAGAUGAUGUGGCAUUCAUCCAAUCUCGUCAGUAUAUACACUGAUAGUGUAGAAAAAAUUAAUCCCAUUUAAAAACUUUGUGAACAGUAAUUAAUUAAUCGCAUCCUGCGUUUUCUCGUUGCUUUGAGAAAUUACAGAGAGAGAGGCGCACCAUUAUUUGUUAAUCACUGAUUUUGAUUCGUAAUAUCGUGCAGUAAUUCUUGCAAUGAAAUUAUGGUUUCAAAACAUACAUUUAAUGUUUGUAGCAUGGAUUGAUCACCAGCUAUAGCUAUCGAAUGCAAUAAAAAGUUGUAAUACAUUUAAUAGUAGUGUAUUUAAUAGUGGUAGUACAGGAAGGAAGAGAACAUGUUGGGAUUGCACCAUUUUUUAUGAUUUUGUAGUCACUUGGACGAGCCCUCGCGUGAAUGGUCCAGCGGUAGCGCCUCUCACCAGUGAAUCUUGAGGUCACAAGUUCGAGUCUCCGCUCCGCUGAAUUCCUCCCUGUGUCGAAAAAAAAAAAAAAAAAAAAGUAGUCACUUGGACGAAUUUGUUCAUUGUUUUUGUGAGACAAGAAGGUAACUGGACUCAUUUUUCAGUCCAACGUAUGCCGUGCGUUUUGUCAUGUAUAUUAUUGUUGACUCCAACUCCAACAACAGGUCAUUGUAGUGCUUUUCUAUCUUUUCUGUUUUCAUCUUCACCUCCGACUAAUCCGCCACCAGCUGCUGCUGCUGCAUCAUGCCACGUUAAAUUCAUUCAAUUUUCAUUCGUGUGGAAGUGAACAAAGAAUUUUCCACACGAAUAGAUUAUAGUUACAGUCACAUUAUUCAAGAAUCUCCCAUGUAUCCUCCUCCUCCAAACAAAAUUCUUGAAACGGCAGCCACGGCCGCCACUUCUCACCUCACAUGCAUAAAUGCUUUGGUGGUUACCCAAAAUCCAACAAGAAUUGAAUCUGCUGCCGCUCAUGUUCAAUUCAAUUUGGUCCAAGAUCCACAGCAUCUGCAUUCUUCUGUAUUCUGUUUUUUUUUUUUUUUUUUUGGUUUUUCUGGGCAGCUUCCGUUCUGAAUCAGUGAUCACCCUGCCCAUGCAUUGAAUCACAUCGUGGAAGACGAUGUGUCCAUGAAAACGCUUGACGUUGAAAACAUUGACUUGGGGUGUGGUAAUGAAAUGCAUCGCCCGUGUGAUUCUGGAAGAUUGAGGCUAAUUGAUAGUGAUCAAACGAAUCAUAACAACAUAUUAAUGACAAAUUCCAGGCGCAAAUGGAGCGGUCAGAGGAAUAAUUUAAAAGGGUGAUCAGUCAAAAUUUCAUUUUUCGCAAGAUCUGAACAUAAACAAAUUUCCAGCUGACUUUUGGAAAAAGCAAGUCAGCAGUCUACCACUCUCCAGUCUCCACUAAAAGUAUCUUGUUCCCACUCCCGCUACUUCGAGAAGAUAACGUUAGUAUAAUUUUCAAUCUGAAAUUGAUAAGGUUUACCUUUCAACAAAGGAAAUCGAUCAAAGUCUAUUUUUGAACCCCAUUCAUGAUUCAUCAAUUCUUUAUUGGAGUCACUUCCGCGGACUAGACUCCUGCUCCUCACAACAAGGCUUCCAGGUUUAUACAUGAAUCUGGUGAGUUGGAGAAAUGUGCAUGGAGUGGAGAAUUAUUGAACAAACAGCAUCCUACAUUCAAGGCAACAACUAACUAUUGGGUGUUAAAAACUAAUAGUGACAAAAUUAUGGGUUAUACAUGAUGCGACUGGUACCAAGAUGCAUGCAUGCAUCUGCAUUUAAGAGUAAUUAUUUGUUUAUGUACGGAUUUCACAAUCAGAAGGAUGCAAAUUUUAACAUUAUAAAGACGCUUGGACUUGUGGGCUUUUUUUUUUUUUUUUUUUAAAGAUUAAUGGGAGUCAUUUUCGCAGGGAAAAUUAUAUUGUGGCUUUUUUAAGUUGGGCUUGUAUUUGCCCAACUGAAGUUUGAAAGAACAAAUCAAUAUCUGUUAAUAUAUUCUUAUUCACUUGAUGAAUAUACAGACCUCAGCGAGUAAAGUCCAAACAUAUUUGACUUUUGGGUGGUACUCUUUGCCAUAGUUCUACUUCCACUCGAUCGGUCUAGGAUAUUUUGAGAGGAGAAAAAGAAUAUGGUCAUGGUCAAAUGUUUGAGCAGAUUGAAUAAGGUCAGAUUAGAAUUAUAGGCAAAUCCUAUAGGGACGUUCUAUUUUCAAAUCAAGAAGUUACUCAGUCUCGACACCGCGUUAAAUUGCUCAAGACUCAAAUCUGAAUCAGCAGCAACAAGAAUAUAGAUAGUAGUAUGAAAUCAUCUUUCUGGAACUGGACCCAUCGCAGCAACUCAAAUGAUGCAAGUCUGAUGCAGAACAUUCUCUUAUGUUUUCCCCAUUUUGGAACCUGGACAGCAAACAAGCUCUAUGACCAAUCAAUCACUGGCACGGCACAUUCAGGUAAAUGAACACAUCACCAGAAUAAAAUGUUCUUGUUUUGACUCCUUGAUUCAGCUGCAAUCUUAUCAGCGGCAACAAGGCAACAACUUUCACGAUGCAAAAUGUUGAAUUCUUCACUUAUAAUCAUAGCUGCCAUCCCUUCGGAUCUAUAUCCACCUGCUACGUACAUAAUUUAAUGCAAAAAUCAGUACAAGUAAGACGAUAGUACACAUGUUAGAGAGCAUCUUGCAAGUAUAAGCUUCAACUAUCAGAAAUAUUUCUUUAUCUUGCAAAAAAAUUUACAGCCAGCAGUACCUUCAUUUGAUUUUUGCUUGUAAGCUAAGAUUAUACAAACUAGUUGAUUAGCAUCAUUGUCCAAUAAGCGGAAGGGAGGAUACAAGAAUUUUGCAUCAAUAUACUAGUUUAUGCCCCCCCCCCCUCCCCCACCAAAAAAAAAGGUAAAUGAAUAUACAAACAAAAAACAAAACCUAGAAUCUGCCAGCCUGCAGAUCAAUCCUUCACAAGUGACCAGCACACUGAAGAAGGAUAGACAUAUUUGUAUGCUUCGUAACUUUUAUAGUUGCCAUUUUCAGAAGCACAAGAAUACUCAUCUUUCUUCCAGAAACAUCUACAAGUUCCAAGUCUACAUCACUAACGGUUAGUUAUCAGUUCAACAUAUUGCAAUACUAAAAUUGCAGCUUCUACAAACAGGUACAGUUGCAGCUAUUGGAAGAAGUGGAAAAGAAAGUUGAAGCAUCUUCAGUUUUCGAGUAAUACAAGAAUCCGGGAAAAGCUUAAUUUUUACCAGUUUUCAUUGUAUAAAAGUAAAAAGUUGGCCCCGGGUUCCGAAGCUGUUUGAAAACUAAGAUACAAGAUAAGAGAGCGCUAAUGAAACCCACAGGGUUUUGGCUGAAUGAAGAAAAUGAAUUGCCAAUACCAGUAGAAAUCACUUUCAAAACUGAAACAGUAAUAAUUGCAUGCCACUACUGAAAUGUAAAUAAAACGAAAACCUGAAAUGCUUUAUUUCUCCAGUGAAAGAUGCAGCCACGAGCUUCUACGUGAUUCAGGAGAGCCUGAGGCAUUGAUGCUUUAAAGGUUGAGUGAAGCUUCACUUUUCUCAGUCCCUGACAAGCUAACAGAGCGGCACCAAGCCCACUGGCAGUCAGUCCAGUUACAUGCAAGAUAGUCAUGCUGUGCAAGUGGUUAAUGCUGGCCAGUGCCAUUAGCCCAAUAUCCGUAACUGAACAAUAUGAUAUAUUAAUCUGCAAAUAAAUGGACCAGUUAGUUCACUUAAGACGCUGCAGACUUAUUUAGCCUUCUUUCAUAAAAGGAGAGGAAGUGAGAGAACCUGCUGGAGACUUUGGGAACAUUGUGCAAGAGCAAGCAUUCCAGCAUCAUCAAUGUUACAGCAUUUCUUAAUGUCAAGAAGGGUCAGUUUCCUACAUCCUUCAGCAAUGGCUGAUAAUCCUCCUGAAGAUAGACGAGUACAUCCUCGAAUUUCAAGUGCUGUCAAUCUUAAACAUUUUGAUAAACAUCGCAAUGAACUGUCAGUAACUUUCUCACAGUAAGCCAUGUUAAUCAUCUCCAAACCAAGGCAACCAUUUGCAACUGCCAUAAUGCCUACAUCGGUAACUGCUGUGCACCUGAAAAUAGGGGGGAAAAUGUCAUUAUAUUUGAGUAAAUUGAAACUUGUCCAGAUCAACAAUAGGGAUCUACAAGAAAGAAGGAGAUAUGGAGUUAUAGAUUAGAAACUUUAAAUAGGAUGGCUAAAGUUUCAAAUCCCCCUUCCUUCUCUCCGCUUCAUAAAUCCCAUCUCUCCCCUGUAUGUGUGCGCGCUAAAGUUAGGAUUUAUUCAUUUUCCAGAGCAAAUACUGGUAAACUGAUUCUCUAUGACUAUUUGUUCUGUAGCAACUAAACCUACUGCAGGCAAGAUCACUUCUCACCAUACUGUUCAAAAUUUUUUCAUUUUUUAGGAAGAAGGUCACCAAACGGUAACUCAACAUGGUGGAGCGGACAAUAAGGUAUCAGAAGUUAGUUCUUUGAAACUAGCAAAAGACAGGCUUCUAUUAUCCCAACAAUUAGAAGUACAGAGUAGUGAUCAAGAUUUCUCAAAAACAUUUUCUCCAUUUUCAUGGAAAAGCAUAGAGUAGAAAACUUGCUUACAAUUUCAUUUCAGAUGGUAAAGCAGGAAUUAGGACACUGGUUAAACUUACAAGGGUUCUGGUAAAAAAAAUUCCAUUUAUGGAAAUUAAUGAAAAUCUAAAUGAUGUAUCAACAUAUUGAAGGAGAGAUAUGGGGGGGUAGUUGAUUAAGCAGAAAAUACUUUCUUGGGACGUAGAUUGUCAAAUUAAAAUCAAAUUACCUACAAAAGAUAAAAAAUAAAAUAAAAUUCAGGAUCCAUGCUUAUGCUGGAAAAAAAAUGAAAAAGAUAAUAAUCUUUAUUGUAAAGUUGCAAACCUGUACAAAUCAAGUUGUGUCAGUUUUGGACAGUAAAUUCCAACAUGAAAAAGUCCGCUAUCAGUGAUUUUCGUGCAUAUUCCCAUUUUUAAGCUCAAAAGUUUGGAACAUCUUGAGAUUGCUUUCAACCCUGCGUUAGUGCAAAAGCAGUUAGUCACCAUUAGGGAUAGUAAACUUAAUGAAGAUGAUGAUAGAUUUCAUGUGGAACCUUCAUCAUCGACUUCAUUAUCAGUAAUAUCCAGCUCCUCCAGCAAAGAGCAACGUUGCCCAAUCAAUUCAAAAGCAUCUUCAGGAAUCAAGCUACAAGAUUCCAUUUUGAGGGAAAUAAGGGAGUUACAUGAACUUGUUAUAAUGUCUAAAGAGGCAUGAGUUAUUUUUCUACAACAAGUUAUGUCCAAGUUUUUCAAUCCAUUGUGCUUCUCCAUAAUGGAGGAGAGACCCUCAUCUGUCACUCCUAUGCACUUGCAUAAGCUUAUCUCCUUUAAGGAUACACAACAAUCUGCAAUAGCUUUCAUCCCAGCACAUGAGACUUGGCAGCCAUCUAAUUUAAUGCACUGCAGGCCCGGAAAAUUGUGCAGGCAUUUUGCUAGAUCUACUGUAACCUGAACCAAGGUUUGCAAAAAGGGAAAAAAAAUUAAGAUGAGAGAUAACAGAAACACUUGCAAUGGAAAAUUCACCAAUAGAAGUUCUAUACUUACAUCAAAACCAUAUGCUAGACUGAGAUGGCUUAGGUGUUUCAUGCCAUUUGUUAGAGAAUAUAGACCAAUGUGGCUGACAUUUUGAAUGAUUGAUAUAUUAAGCAUCUGCAACAAAUAUCAGAUGGAAUCAAUGAAUUGCAAGAGAGGAUGUAAAAAGGACAAACAGGAACCAAAGAAGGAACCUCUAGUGGUUUGUAUCCUUGAUUCAGGGUGACAAGACCCUCAUCGUCAAUACCAGAACAUCCCACAAGAACCAAUUCCUUGAGUUGUUGAAGCUGCAGGAUGGGUGGAAGGCACUUUUCUGUUAUCUGUUAAGAAAAAAAUCCAGAAGAAUGUUAAAAGUUUCUCAAGAUAACGACAUUUCUUGAAACAAUUUCACUAUAUAAAAUAAGUAAACCUAUGUUCAAGUUCUUGUGACAAUUUGCUGAUUAAUUUACAGUAUAAGGUCACUGAACUCCGAUGUCAGAAAACUACAAUCUAAGAAUUAGGAUAUAAGCACAUCAUCCUACACAAAAGAAUAGCUUAGCUCUGUGUUAAUAUUUAGAAACAAUGUGAAAGAUUGCUUAACUUCCUAAAGUUCAAGAUAGAAUUUAGAAUAUGACUGGUUAACUUGCUUAACCAGUCGAAUAUGACUCAUGGUUGCUUAACUUCCUAGAUAGAAUUUAGAAAUUAGAAUCCCACAAUUGACAGGUGAAGAAAAGUUCAAGAUUUACAAAACCUAGGAAAUUCUGAGCAGUUAAUUUAUUGUCAAGAUACAAAUGCACCCAGGGGCAUGAUCCGCCAAUCGGUAGAGUCUAUUUACCAGGACUAGUUAAUUUUCCAGGUCAAGGCUAAUCAGCUAGCUCAGAUAUUACCACGAGAGAGAGAGAGAGAGAGAGAGAAUUAUUUCCUUUUCUGUUGACAUCAAUGACCACUGUAACGUUUAACGAAUAAUUGUUUUAAGGACGUCAACUUCAAACUCCCAGUGGUCUAGCUAAGGAGAGAACAAAUAACAGCUGACUGCAGCUAUGGAAAAUAUAGUGGGGGAAAAGGAAAAGACUGAAGGAGAAAAGGCAAAUUACAGGCAAGUAAGAGAGAUCCAGAGAGCGAAUAUCUCUGCACUUCAUAGCAAUCAAGCCAACACCGAAAUCACUAACUCUUAAGCACCAUUUCAAGCAAACCGACUUCAAUUUUUUGCAACCAACAGCAAUACAGCCAAUCCCGAUAUCUGAAAUCAACUUGCACCUAGCCAAUGAUAGCUUCUCCAAGUUCUUAGCUUCGGCAAUAGCUGCAGCAGCCAAGUCUGUUAGCUCUGUUGCAUUGGACAAAUCCAUCUCCACCAAACCUGUACAUUUCCCAGCCAAACUCGACAACCCAACGUUACUAAAGAACCUAGACCUCGAAAGGUCAAUGGCCCUCAAACUAGUCUUAUAUACAUCAGCUAUAGCAAAAAGAGUAUCAUCCUCGACACGAGGACAACAUGUGAAGUCAAGGUGAGAUAGAUGAGGAUAUCUUCGGAGAGUACUUGGAAUGAGAUUAGUUCGUAGAGGUCUUAGAGAUCUUCUGUGAAUGGAUUCAAUAGAGUAGAAUGAUUUGUUAACAAGAGAGAGCGAUUUCUUGGCUUGUGGGUCCUCAUCGAGGAAAUCAAGAACGUUAAAUAUGAUUUCUUCAGUAAGAUUUUCAAAAGGGUUGGAGAGAUUGGGAGAUUGGUGAACUUGUUGCAUGGUUCGGGGGUUCUUCAUGAGAUGAUAAUCAGGCUCCUGCAGGUAAAAGCUAUGUUGCUGAUCCAGGAGGAAUGGUGGGGGAAAAUUUUCUAGCGGUUGAGUAUUUUUGGAAGUUUUUGAGAAGUAAAUGAACUGGCAUUGAAUGGGAGCAUUAAUAAAAAGAUUCUGAGAUCAAUUGUGGGGGUUAGACAGAAAAAUUAGUAGAAAAGUUUGGAAUGAUGAUGACCUGAGCUGGGGAAGUUGGUUUCAGUUGACGAAGAUGAUGUUCUGAAAUUACAACGCUGACCUUUCUCAGUUGGAUUGGAUCUUUGACUAUACGAAAAACGAAAUUAUCUUUUUUCUGGGAGAUAAUGACAUGUUUCGUCCUUAGAUAUCGUAAAAAUAUUCUUUUCGUCCCACACUUUUAAAAUGAAAUAAAUUUGUCCCUAACAUUUAAAAAUUAAAACUAUUACAUUCCUAAACCUAAUUUUCAAUCUGAAUCUAACCAUCCAAUAAUCCAAUAAUGAAUUUCCAAAAUAGAAUUGAUAGAUCAUUCGGUCAACUUCAUCAUAUUCACAUGACAUUUAUUAAACUAAAAAAAAAUAAAAAUUAUAACAUAAAAGGUCAUUCUUUGUCUUGAAAUAGUAGAGUUUUUUUUUUGAUAAAUUUUUUCAUGCACCGUUAGUAUAUCCGCUUGCGAAUUUAGAUGUGUAUCAUAAAUAUAAAAUUUUGUGUUUAAAUUUAAAUUAAAAUGAUAUUGCGGUACAUAAAACUGUCAGUAUAUACAAUGAUAAUGUAGGAAAGAUUACUCUUUCUUUUUAAUGCUAUAAUUUUUUAUUUUUUAUUUUUAGGUUCAUUAAAUUGCACAUGAAUAUCAAGUUGAGUUAACCAAGUGAUAUACCAAUUACAUCCCUAAAAUUUGUAAUCAGGUUGAUUGGUGGUUUGAUUCAUAUUGAAAUUUGGGUUCAGGGAUGUAAUAAUUUCAGUUUUUAAAUGUCACGGACAAAAUUGGUUCAUUUUAAAAGUGAGAGACGAAAAGAAUAUUUUUAUAAAAUAUGAAGGAUGAAACUGAUCAUUUUUCUAUUUUUCUUAACCCUUUAAUUGGCUGUAUUGAUGGCAUCAAAUUAAGGACAACUCUAAUCCUUAAGCAUCGUAUACUCUCUUCUUUUUUUUUUUAAAUUAAUGUAUUGUCUACUAGUACUUGUAUAAUGUAAAGCGUAAAGUCAGAGCCAGAGGGGGCAAAUAAGGAAAAUAAACUGAGGGUCAAUGAGAUCUUAGGCAUAGGCGCUUGGCUAAUAAAGAAAGAUCAACGAGGGGCAGCCAGAUGUAGAGGCGGGGUGAAUUCAAGGGCAGACCUGGUAAGUAUUGCAUCGUUGUCAUUUGUGCAUUUGUACUCCACCUGGGACCUAACGUGACGGCAAUCGGGUUGAACAGCCGAGUGAGAUGGUGAGAAAGCGAGAACCCCUUUGACCUCUUUCUUUUAGUGGAGCCAAGCCAGAGUCAUUCGUGCCUUUGUACUCCAAAUUGAUUUUGGUCGUAUGCUACUAAAGCUUACUCGCCGGAGAGAGUGCAAUAGAACGGCAAGGUAGAAUUGAUUUCUGGUGCUUCUUAUUUGAAGAACCAAAUAUGGCGGAUCAAAUAUAGAGAUGAAUGAAGUCUCUCCCCAUUGCUUCGUCCCCAACAAAUCACACGUAAUGAAUUGGCUGGAUACCACUAAUAUGUGGUUUCUUUAAAUCCAAAGAAGUGCAUGGUGCAUUCAUUUGAUCUUAUGAGCCUGUCCCUUCCCUUCAUCCCAUCCCCAUAAAGUAGGACAAAAAAGAAAAGAAAAGUAAAGAAUUGGUUAGAUACCACAACAUCCUUCCGUAACAGUUAGUCAGUAUGUUCCAACAAACCGCUGCGGACUAAUUAAUAUUUUUACAGAAGUAGCGAGACCAGAAUUGGAGAAAUAGUUACCCGAACAAGCAAAACUGUGAUGUAAAUCAACAAUUCUCAUAGAAUACAUUACAUCCAAAUAUAGAACUAUUGCAAUUCCUCAGUUUAACCCAAGCAAACGGUGUAAAAUGCGCUAAGUCACCUAAGACGUUAGAUCAAUCAUUUUUUCGCAUAGCUGAUUGCCAUAGGAUUCUGGGGGGUAAUUUUGAAGCCCUGUAGUGCCUGCAUGGCAACUGAAGAUUGUAUAUC